CCCAUUCGCCGCUCUCGCAUGUCCCCCCUUUAUGUAAAUGAAAAGGCACUCUUGUAAAAGCUUCUUCCACAUAACCAUUCUACUUGUCUUCAUCUCCCAUCACCACCGAAACCACCAUCUCCACCAUCGACCUCCUCCUCCUCCUUCCCCCUCAACUCUUGGUUUCAAAGAAAUCCCAAAAUAAAAAUGAAAGUCCCCUAUUUAACUCUAGCCUUAGAAUACACUAAGAACACCAUCAAAACCUCUUGUCUUCUCACGGGAGAAAACAACACCUCUCUCCUAGAAGCUCAUACCCUUUCUUUCACCAUCAAAGUUGUUUGACUUGAUUUUGGUAUUUGAAGCACUUUCUCUUUGGUUGUCUUUCUUUCCUUCGGCUAAGUAGGUAAGAAACCUCGAUUUCUUGCUGCAAUUAAAAUGUGUCAAUAUUAUAAAAGGAGUGUUGAGAAUUUCUUAAAAGACUUGUUCUUGCAUGCUUUAUUUAUGUUUGUAGUGGGUAGAUACAUGCUUUUUUGGCCAAGAAUUUAAAGAAUUUCGGAUUAUUAACGGGUGUUGCAAGAAAAAUGGAACUUUAAAUUUUUAAGGGGUUACAUGUAUAGAUCUAAAGAUUUUUGGUCCAAAUUCAUAAUUUUCAAGAAGUCAGUCAUAAAUAUGUUUUCCUCUCUGUUUUCAGCAAUUACUGAGCAAAAAUUUCGGAAUUAAAAACGGUUGUACAAGAAAAUUGAAUUUUUCAGUUCUAGUGGUCUUGCAUGUAUAGAUCUAGAAAUUUUGGGGGUAAAAUAUGUAAGUUUUAAAUUUCCAGUCUAAGUUUUCAGCAGAUAUUAAAAGGAAAUUUCAUUUUUAUAAAAGGUUUACAAGAAAAUUUGAUUCUGAACUUUUAGUGUGGUUGCAUGUGUAGAUCUUGAAACUUUGGGGUUAAGAUUGUAUUUUUCAAAAAAAAAAUCAGUCACUUCGUAAUUGGGAAAUCUGUUUCCUAACAAGUGUUAAAUGAGAAGAAAGUUUUUCUUUUAAAAGUAUUCAAAGUUUAAGUAAAGUUAUAUUAGAAUUUGGAUUUUUAGAAGAAAAAGGGUUUUUUUUUUCUAGCUUUUAAUUUCAAAAAAGAUCGAAACUUCAUGAAAUCGUAAAAUAAUUUUAGAAACUAAAACUUUGGUUAUACAAUAUUAGAUGUAUUAUAUAACGUAUUUUCAAGGUUCAAUAUUUAAUUGGAUUUCUUACUGAGCUUUAUAGCUUGUACCAAAAGGCGAAAUCCCUCGCCCCCAUAUAGAUGCUUUUUAACUGCAGGUAGUAACGAACACCAUAAGACAAUGGGAUAAUCAUAUUAGUCACGAAAGCACAUAAACACUUACUUAUGUAAAAAUGACCAAAAUGCCCUUUCUAUGAAAAUCGUGUAAAAUACAUUUUUCGUUUUAUUGAAUCAGUGAAAGAUUAAUUUAUGUACCUGAAUAAUAAACCUGUUCAUGCCCAUUUUCAUUAGUGUCAAACCACACAUUUCAUCCUAAUUGGAUACCGGCCCACUAUAUCCGGUUUGUAUAUUAUCCGGUAUUUCAUUAAUCUUUCAAUUAUCAAAAUAGUGACAUGCAUAUUUUCCAAAAAUCACAGCAAUUACCAUAAUUUAUCACAUAUCUACUAACUUAAGCAAUAAUCCACAAUCCACACACAUAUACACACACCGCCAUACACAACGUGCACACACACAGACACACACCUUCAGCAUAUACAUACUAACGCAUGCAAUGCACAAUUAAUAUACCAUUAUUUAAUACACAAAUCAUGCUUGCCAAGCAAGACCCCUUUUUAUCCACUAUUUAAUGAAUUUAUUACCACUUUCAGGCAAUAAAUCAUUUCAAUUUAUUUCCAGCAGUAAUUAAAUACAUCCUUGCAGUAAUUUAAGGUACACAAUCCCAAGUUCAUCACUCAUUAUCAAUUUAUUCCAAGAAAAAAAAAAUUAAAGCACAAAACAUCAUGUAUCAUGUUAAAAAUUCGAAAUAAUAGUAAACCAUUUCAAAAAAUUCUCAAAUUAAAUCCUAGAGUUCCUAACAGACCAACGUUUUAGUUUCUGAAAUUAUUUUACAAUUUCAUAAAGUUUCGAUUUUUUUUAAUUAAAAACUAGAAAAAAACCUUUUUUCUUUUAAAAAUCCAAAUUCUAAUAUAACCUUACUUUAACUUUGAAUCCUUUUGAAAGAAAAACUUUCUUGUCAUUUAACACUUGCUGACAAACAGAUUUUCAAAUUACGAAGUGAAUGAUUUUUUUGAAAAAUACAAUCUUGACCCCAAAGUUUCAAGAUCUAAGCAUGCAACCAACUAAAAGUUAAAAAUCAAAUUUUCUUGUAAACCUUUUAUAAAUCUGAAAUUUCCUUUUAAUAUCUGUUGAAAACUUAGAAAAUUGCUUGAGGCUGGAAUUUUAAAAAUUACAUAUUUUACCCCAAAUUUUUUAGAUCUAUACAUGCAAGACCACUAGAAGUGAAAAAUCCAAUUUUCUUGUACAACCCUUUUUAAUUCCGAAAUUUUUGCUCCAUAAAUGCUUAAAAACAUAGCUGAAAACAUAUUUAGGACUGACUUCUUGAAAGUAUGGAUUUGACCCAAAAAUCUUUAGAUCUAUACAUGCAAUCCCAUAAAAGUUCAAAAUUGCAUUUUUCUUACAACACCCUUUAAAAAUUCGAAAUUCUUUAAGCUCUUGGCCAAUAAAAUUUGUAUCUACCCACUAUAAACAUAAAUAAGGUAUACAAGAACAAGAAAUUGAUAAUCAACAUAACUUUUUCAGUUUUCCCCAAAAAGCCCUAAUUUUUCGAAAUCCCUUCAAGUCUUUAAGAAAUUCUGAAUACUCUUUUUAUAAUAUUGACACCCUUUAAUUGCAACAAGAAAUCGAGAUUUCUUACCUAAUUAGCCGAAGGACAACCAAAGAGAGAGUGCUCCAUAUACCAAAAUCGAGCCAAGUAACUUUGACGGUGAAAGAGAGUGUAUGAGCUUCUAGGAGAGAGGUGUUGUUGUUUUCUCUCGUGAGAAGACAAGAUGUUUUGAUGGUGUUCUUAGUGUAUUCUAAGGCUAGAGUUAAAUAGGGGACUUUCAUUUUUUUUUUUUUGGAAUUUCUUUGAAACCAAGAGUUGAGGUGGAAGGAGGAGGAGGCCGAUGGUGGAGAUGGUGGUUUCGGUGGUGAUGGGAGAUGAAGACAAGUAGAAUGGUUAUGUGGAAGAAGAAGGAUUUACAAGAGUAUCUUUUCAUUUACCUUGAGUGUGGACUUUAACAAAAUGAUUACUUUUUGCCAUGUGUACGAACAUGCAAAUUAUUACCAAUUAAAUAUUUAUUUAAUUAACUUACAACUUGACUGACACACACGUACACACAAAGGCGAUGUCUUUCUAUUUGAUAAUACAUAAUACAAAUAUAUAUAUUAUUUUAUUCUCUACUUAUUUUUUUUUCUGAUAUUAACAACUACAAUUUGAAGUUUAUAUUUUGUGUACAAGGACACAAUUGAUUUAUAUUCAUGGUUGUUACAACCAUUUCUUAAAUGUGACGGAUAAAACAUUCUUUUCGACUAAAACAUGUCGUUUUUUUAUCACUACGGGUAGUAUUUUGAUCAUGAAUUUGUUUGUUUUAUAUAUAUAUAUAUAUAUAUAUUAUCUUACGGCAUUCCUACUUAUUUUACGCAGUAUAUUUUCAUUGGUAGAUUAUGGUGCGAGAGUAUAACCCUCUCGUACUCUAGGCGAUUCCUAUUUUUUUUCUUCAUAUAGCUCAUGUAUAAUGAGUUGAAUUAGGCCUUCACUAGAGCCAACCUUCCAGGCUUGGAAUUUAAAUAAAAUGAACUUAAACUCCAGGCAUGGAAUUUAAAUAAAAUGAACUUAAACACAUUUGACGCAAUUAUUUUUACUAUAUUAUAAGAAAAAAUGUAGAUAAUCAUUCACAAAAUCCUCGGGGUCAAAAUCAUUUUAAUCCCUGAGCUUUGCAGUUAAAAUUAAAUUCACUCAUAUAGUUUUAAUUGGGUUCAAUGUCAUCCUUGGAACAUAAUUUUACCGCCAAAAUUCAUUUUUCCCCAAAAUACCUACAUUAUUCUUUUGAACAUGAGGAACUCAAAUGAAAUACAGUCCCAAUGUCCCUUUUUUUCUCUACAAAAUAUAUCGAACUAAAAUUAUAUUUAAAAAUAUUUUCAAGAACUUAUGGAAAAAAAUUCCAAAAAUAAUUAUGUAUAAAUGGAUGUUACGAAAUUAUCUUUAUGUUUUUUUUUUCAUGUCAAAUUUGUUGUUCAUACAUUUUGUUGGAAAUCCACAAUUAUUUUUCUUGGUUUGUUUUCGCUUACACUGUAAAAGGAGUUUCGUCGUGUAAAGUACUUUGCAUUAGUUUUGUUUUUCUCAACCACAUAUAUUAGUCUUUGUAUAGGAUUAAUUUUUGUGAAUUAUCGGAAAAUCCACAUAUCAAAGAUGUACUGAGCAACUUUAAAUAUAAUUUUUCAAUUUUCAAUGAUGGUCAGAAUAUAAUUUUUUCAAGUAAAAAUCUUACCGGACCAAUAUCCUAUACCAAAAAAAAUGGUUUUAUUUAAUUUUUGAAAAAUCCUUUAGUAGAAGAAUAUUUAAAUAAUAUAUUUUUGUAUUUUAAGAAGAAAUAACUUGUACUUUAGAAAUUAAUUUAUGUUUAAAGAUUUGGAAAAAAAUAAUUUGCAACAAGAAUUUGAAAAGUAAUAUAAUAUUUGUGUGUAUUUUCUAUAUUGUUUGGAUUAAUGAGAGAAAAUAAUUUUUAAGAUCUUGAAAAUGUUUUUAAAUAUAAUUUUAAUUUGAGGUUUUCAGUAAAAGCUAAAAAUGUGAAUUAUGGUUGAAUUUCAAUUUAGUCCCCCAAGUUUUGCAAAGGGUAAUGCUGGCAUUUUGUGAAAAUGAUUGAUUUUGGCGGUGAAAUUAUGUUUCAGGGAUUACAUUAAACAAAGCGAUGAAUUUGAUUUUAACUUGAAAACUCGGGGUAAAUGAAUUACCCUAUACAUUUGUAAUAUGUUCAUUCAUUUAGGUGUACUAUAAAGAAGGGUUAGAUAAAUAAAUAUGAAUUUCACCAUCAAUUGGCCCAUUAGCUCAGUUGGUUAGAGCGUCGUGCUAAUAACGCGAAGGUCGCAGGUUCGAGACCUGCAUGGGCCAUAACAUAUUUUUAUGUAAUAUUCUCGUUUAUAAGAUAUUAUUUUUUUUCUUGGGACACUCUCUUGCAUAAAUUUUGAUAAGUCCUUUUUGUACUCUGGAAAUAUAGCAUUUUAGCAGUUUGCAUUGUCAAAAAAAUUAAUAGCACUUUACACCUCGAAAGAUAAUAGAUCAUUUACAUUGCACAACAAUUGAAAUUUUAAGAUUAAUGAGUAUAAUUUCAUCUCUUAGUAGUAUUUCUAAAUAAAAUAAAAUAAAUCUUUGGUGAUAAAAUAUAAUUUCAAUAAUAGAAUUCUCAUUAAAAAAAUUAUGAAAUUAUUGGAUAACUAUGUCUUAAUUUUAUUGGAACUGGAAAAACAAUGUUGUUGUUUUUUUCAUAUUAAAUUUUUUUAUUAUGUAAUUUUGUGAAAAGAAUAGUUGAAGGGUGAAAAAGUAAAAUUUUAAUACUAUGUACUAGGAAGAGAAAUACUUUCUUUGGUGUACUUAUUAAGGGUAUUAGGGCUAGGUGUUGGUCGGUUUUAUCGGCCAACCGACCCACUUUCGACCCUCUUUUCUCGGCCAAUAAUUUUAUUGUCGCCGUUAAUUUUAACCGACCCAUAUAUAAAUGGGUUGGUCGGUAAUUUUUAAUUUACUCAAAAGUCGGUUGGCCGGGUAAUAUCGGUUAACCGACUUUUUUAACAAUAAAAAAAUAUUAUAAAUAUUUAAAUAUAAUUCUUAUUUUUUUAACAUUGAAAUAACAUGAAAGAAGUCAAAACUGAAAAACUCGAAACACAAAUUUAUAAACCCUAUCUACAAUUUCUAUUUGGUAAUUCUUAUUUUAUAUUCUUCAGAAUGUUCACUUAUUGUAGAAAUAUAAUAAAAAAACUCUUAAUUUUAAAAUUAAGACUUUUGCAAUAUAAGUUUUUCCAAAAUUUUAAAUAUAUUUUGAAAAAACUUUAAAAAAUAUCUUACUAUUAUAAAAAAAAUGAAUAAAGAGAUGGUCGAUAAUAUCUCAACCUACCCAUUCUUUCUCCGACAAAGUAGUUUGCCAACUAUUAUUCGACCCACAAUGGUCGGACUGACAAUGGUUUUCAAUAUUCUACAAAAUCAGGUGGUCGAGUUGAGUAGGUAAUUUGCUAAUAAUUACCCAACACGGCCAUACCCAGUCCUACUUUUAGUUCCAUGACCGGAAAUUACCAUAUGCCUCGAUAUAUAGUCUAUACUCUAGGGGCCUCUUUGAUUUGAAUGACUUGAUAAAGGCUGGGAUGAGAUACUUAUAACUUUGAUUAAAAGCAUGAUAAAUGUUAUUAAUUAUGUCAUUUGGUUAGUUGUACUAAUUCAUGACUAAUAAUCUCUUGACUAGUCUGCUUCCAUUUUGUUUGCAUGAUCUAAACAUAUCAGGUGUGAUUAAAAAUAUAUUGCUGUAGAUGCCCUUAAGUCAUAUUAUAUUUUAAUCUGCACUUUUAAUAUUCACAGUUAAUGGUAGAAAUCCCCUUCCCCCAACAACAUCCGUCAAAGAACCCUAAUUACGCAUACUUUGAAACCAAAUUUGCCGAUUUUUGUUGUGGAACGGUUGAUUUGGAGAAUGAAUGGUACUGGUAGUAGUAGCAACAGAAGGAGUGAGAGUAGCAACAGGUUUUGUUCGAACAACGCCAACCGCGAGCAUUUAAUUUUUUGUGGCUAUGGCUGGAAGCUUCUUGUGCAAACAUCAUGGACGCCGGCAAAUCCAGAAAGGCGGUUUCUAUCGUGUCUACAACGGGGGGUAAUCAUUUAUUAUCAUUUUGCACUAAUUUAUUGGUAAUAUAUGAUGCCAUGCGUUUGCAUAUAUAGCAAUACCGUUUGUUGUUUAAAACAUAUGAUAAUUGUUGCAUGUGAAUUGGAUAAUUAUAUUGUUAUAACAACCAUUACAUUAAAAAAAAAGGAAUGGGGACUUCUUUAAAUGUUCGCCUAAUUUGUAAAGCAACCCAUUAAGCUGUAAUGGUUCAUUAAUUCUAACCAGCAAUUUCAAGCAAGCUAUUGAAAUUAUAUAUUAAUUUAUCCAAUAAUAUGUGCAUCCUUUGGUAAAAUAACAUUAAAUUAAAAUGAUAAUCAGGAUACUGCUUGUUCGAGCUUCUAUUGGUAUGAUCCUGAAAUGGGUCAAAGAUAAAAAACGAUAAUCCCUGGUUUGAUGAAGAGAAUAAAUACAUUGGAAUCACAAAUUCCAUUGCAGAUUCCAGUUAUGUUAAACAAAAUAACAUAUUUGGAAUUCCAACUGGAGUUGAAGAGUGAGAAUAAGGAGGUGAGUAAGUCAUACAAUAUGUCAACUGGUUCAGCGCUUGCAAUGGCUGUUAGUGUCUUAGUUUUGUAUUCAUUGUUUUCGUAGUAAGGUUUAUUUAACUGUAUUUUGCAAAGAAAUGGUGAACCAGCGGUUCUUAUGUUGAACACAAGUAUAUUUUUUUCCCAGUUCGUUAUUCAGCUACGAGGUUCGUUCUAUUAACUAUGACCUAGUGUUGUAACUGUUAUCGAUAUGAUGUAGUUAUGAAUUGUAAACCGACCUAACAAUGGUUUUGCUUUUCGAUUUCCAUUGAGUGCUGCAAGUUUUUAGUGAACAUUGUUUCCAUUAACUAUGGUUUCGCUUUUCCAUUUCCAUGAACUGGUACAACUGUUUACCAAAAGUAAAAUUUGACUGUUUUCUACUUUGUAUGAAUAAUAAGUUAGUACAUUUUGAAUGCAAUAAAUUACAUAUAAUUUAUCUUAUUUUGGGUACAUAUAUUCCAUUAAAACAGUUGAGCAGUUACCGAAAAUAUAUUUGCGAAAAAAUAAGAUAUAACCAAUUGGAGAUACAACAAAUAUAUAAAAAUAGUUAAUCAUUAAUAUCCGAUUGAAAAUCGGGAAUCGUAGCCCCAUGCAACAACUUACUCUACGAAAUACCGCCCGUGCAUAUGUGAAAAUUUGGGAACUUAGUACCGAACAAAAGACACAAACUUACUAAUAACUUGUGUAAAUAUCAACCCACUACAGUGACGAAAUAAGAUUAACUAGUGUACACGAAACUUGGGAUUAAUCGGCAACAACCGAUCCAUCGGCAUCAUAAUUACCAGCAUCAUCAUGAUGAUGGUUGAUACUCACAGCUGGUUCAUCGUCUUCAUUUUGCCCUCCAACGUUUUCAAUGUCAUUGUUUCCAAUGUUUAGCACUUCGUGAUCUGGGAAUACAACCGGCUCGGCUUCUACGGAACCGUCACUUCCAUCAUCUUCGUCAUCUCCAUCAAUCACCAGUGGGUUAGUCGGGUUGAAUCCCAUUAUCCUAUCAAAGUUGCAUGCCGGUGCUUGUUUGCUUCGAAAACAAACUUGCACUCUUCGAACAACGGAAAACCGUUAACCCUAAACAUUCUCUCUUCCUCCGUCUCCUGUAUAUUGUAUGGAAGAAAAGUUAAAUUAUAUUGUUGUUGGGAAUCGGACAAGUGUACGCAGUGGAAAACAAAAAUUUUAUGCGAUUUAAACAAUUUAAAACACAUAAACACAUUCCCGAUAAUUGAAAACAAUUAAUUGCGUACCUUAGCGCUUCCAGCGAAUUUAAAAACAACAUACAUGCUUAAUUACUUAAUCAAAAUUAAAUCAACUAGCAUGCUCGCGUUUAAAUCAAAUAAUCAUGCUCGCAAUAAUAAAAACAAUUUCAUGUAGACACAUAAAAUCAUACAAGUUACUUGUUAGAACGAACAUGCAUAUAUUAAUUUAAACGAAACCGAAUCGAACGACAAUGGAUUCGAAACUUUACCUCUUGAAGCGUCAGGUAGGUGCACUAAGCGAAGCUAGAUUGCCACGGAAACCAAUCCGUGCAAUCCGGGGCACCAACGGCGAUGCAACAGCGGCGAUGAUCCGAGCUAUGGCGGCGUGUGUGGUUCACGCGCUGUCUUCGGGCGGCGCGUGGAUGCGCGUGCGUCGUCGGCUCGGUGGCUGCUCCUUAAUUCUUCGAUUCUUCGAUCUUUCUCCUCUCGGAUUUCACCUCGUAUACAUUGAUCUACUAAAACGUGGCACUAGACACGAAAUAGUUAGAAUAAAACGGAAGAAACGAAAAGAGAAAAGAGCUAAAAAACGGAAGAAACGAAAAGAGAAAAGAGCUACCAAGAUGAUCGGCUAACGGAUGGCCGAUUCCGGCGAGAUGGCGGCGGCGGCGACUGCGGUGGUGGCCGCGGGAGAAGAUGGCCGAGAGUGACAGGGAGCGGCUAGGGUUUCGUGUGUGAGUUAUAUAUUGUGCAUGACCUAUAAAUCAAGUAUUUAUAGUGUCUUGCAUAAAACCCUAACGGGCUUAAGUGUGACCGGGCCCAACAGCUUAAGUUCGUUAGUUCUUUUACUCGCUCGUCUCUCUCAAUUCGAUGAUCGAAAAAUUGUAACAAUUACAUUUUCGGAAUCAUUAUAAUGUCCUCGUUAUUACGAGUGCCGAUUCUCAAUUUCCAACUUUCUAAAAGUGGAAACCCUAAUUCAGUGCACUUUCUAAAUUUGGAAAAUUCCUGAUUUAGAAAGUCCACUAAGAUAUUCGCCUAUUCUUUUUCUUUUCUUACUCUCAUUCAUAAUUCCAAAUUACGAAUCUUGGACCCAAUCAUAUUGACUUCCAAUCAUGCAAAGAUAAACCAUUUUUACCUUUGACCGUUUAUUCAAAGAUCUCAUGUGCACGAGCAGUGUGACCCUCGAUGGUUCAGGUGUAAGCUAGCCGUGGGCCCACAACCCUUUGUGGUCAAAACUCGUCCCUUAGAGUUACGAUUAAGAUUACACUUGUUUCACCUUAAUCACCCAACGAAUCAAGAUUGGUGUCUAGCAACUACGCGUCAUGAUUCCCUAGAUACAAAUGAAGUGCCUGCAAGAACCUUUUGAUAUAGUUAGCGUACAGUACGAUCGCUUCGAUUCAUAUGUCCCGAUCGAACUAGAGGCAUUGGUUCACCGAGACCUCUUUAUUUGUUCAAUGGUCGUGCGAUCGUUCUAAGUUUUGUAAUCGUUACGUGCAUGACUUAGAGAACUGAAUUCUCUAAUCAUCACUUAGUCAGCUCUGGCCAGAAACUUGGAGAGAUUACAAACUAUGAGAACACACAGGACAUCCAAGACUAUUAUAGCGAUCGUAUCCCCGACUAGAAUGCACAGACCUCGCACUAGAUUUCGGACUGCACGAACACUGGCCCUUGGGGUGGUCCUCGGUGGAACUCAGGGACAAGUCACGAUACAGCUGGUCCUUUAUUGAAGUCACGGUGAUGCCUAGGUCAUAAGGACUAAUGGUGUACAACUAUACCAUAGAUAUCUCUACUCGAUUAUUGAGAACCACUUAGAGAUUUCUAGGGUGAGGGAGUUCAGUGAACUCGUCAACUUACGAGCACACACUUAUGCAUGCCGAUAUCACAAUACCAUUUACGGAUGAGAUGCAGUACACAUACACUAAGUGCUAGUCUCUUAAUGAGAAAGGGCGAUAUCCUCAUUUAUGGCGUAACCGUUCGACUAGGAACACGUUUGACAGUUAUAAUACUUAAGUAAAUAGCUCACGAUCCUAACGAUCAAUUACUAGUACUUGUAAUAACUGUAAGGACUAUAUCUAUGCUUGUGACAAAGGGACGACAAAGAUAUAGAAUGCCAAGGUGUUUUAUCAUUAAUACGAAAAAUGUUUGUUUAUUACCAUAAUAAAUAUUAAAGACCACAACUACAUGUUGGCUUGUUGGUCACCUACUCUAACAAUUGUAACAAUUUUUUUGAAACAAACGAGUACACUACAUUUAAGGACAUGGAUUAAAGACUUACUUGCCGAUUCCGUGGCCAAAAACUCCAGUCCAAAGUGAUCAUUUUUGUACAACGGUCGAACAUCACACCAUCCACUGCAAUGUAACUCUUAAACGACAAAAACCUGUUUCGAAACCAGUCCAUUCUGCACUUUAUGGCAAUUUCAUCGAAGUUUUUUUCGAAAUGGAAGUUCACUAGCAGAUACACAUCGAAGAGCAGAUCUUCAUACGUCUCGUUGUUACGCAGAGUUUCUAUGGAUCAGGUACCUUCGGCAGCCGAUUUCAUUAAAAAAUCAUCGUAUUCGAAGGGCCAACUGGGAGUGUUAAGCCUGGCCACAUCCUAUGAUUACGGGUUCUUGGUCUGGACAUGAUCCUACAAUCAUUGAACAAGAAAUGAUAUUACAAAACAGUAGAAUUUACCUCUACAAAAAAGCACCAUAAAAUUGAUACUGCAAACCUUGGUACAUCUAUCCUUAGUUGGUCAGACGAAGAGUUUUUAGGGUUAGGAAAGUGAAUAAUUGAGAUUUAAAAUAAAUAAUCUUAACCACCUCACUAUCCUGCAUUCAUAAUCAAAUUUAAAUUGAAAUGAUUUGUGAUGUCCAAUAGUCAUUCCUGCCAACCAAUCGACGCCCGAGGUGCUGCAAACGCACUCGAUCAACCUUCUUUUACACGUCAACUGAUGUUGCAUAUGAUGCUUCACAGCUUCGAAAACUUAACCACCAAUUCGUAUUUAAUGUUUAUAAUUAUUUCACUACAUGCCCUCCCACUUGUAUGUUUAUUUGUUUUUGCACAUUUGCAAUUGUACCAGUGUCAUUUAAUUUCAACUGCUCCAUUGCACAAUGUAAUUAUGAAGAAAAUUCUCUGCUAUAUCUUUGUGAAGUGAUUUAAGGCUUGUGUUGUCAAUCCUAACAUUAAAUUGUCUCAGAUAAUAUUUUUGGCUGAUAAAUGUGUUCACAUCCUAACCCUCCUCAACCAACGCAAUUUGUUAGGGUUUCAUUGCCUUAUAGUGAUGAAUACAGAACUGCCAAAUGUAAGAAUUCAUUUACAAAUUAAAUUAAAAACAUUUGCAUGGCACCAAAGAAAAAACAAAUCUCUCGACAAGAAGAUUUUUUGUACGAGCUAGAAUGGAGUGAAAGAAUCGAUGAUUAUUUCAUCGAGCUAUUAUGUAUGGAAUCAUGUCUUGGCAAUAUCAAACGUGAAGAGAAGAAUACACUUGCACUUUUCAGUUGUCAAGAAGCAAUACAGAACAAGUUUAACACAUGUUUUUCAUACAAACAUCAAACCAAGAAGCUCGGUUUGUUGCUCAUACAUUUUAAGACGUUCCAUUAGAUUCUUGCACAAGACGGUGUUGUUUAUAAUUCGUCUACGAACAUCGUUUCUGCACCAGAUGGUACUUGGGAUUAUAUUUCGAAGGUAUUUAUUUCUCUGUACAAAAAUACAAUAAUCAUACAAGUAUAUAUAUAUAUAUAUAUAAUGAUGAUGAUGAUGAUGAUGCUAGAGUUAGAUCACCUUAAAGUGUUGAAGUAGGAUGAGCUGGAAGAGCAGAGUGGAUCACUAGCUCACGAGCUUGAUGACCUUGAGAUACCUACAAACAGAGAACACGUGAACUAGGCCGGAGGUUGAUCCGGCGGAAACCCCUCCGACGCUCAAGUUAGACGUGUGGGUAAUGAAAAUAGUCUAGAGAAUACAUGUUGUCGUAUUGCUCAGUUAAUAGGACGUACCUUUAAUAAAUGAAUUAUAUCGUUAUUUAUACAUUAGUUGAGAUUGUUGGGCCCAAACCUUAUUUGAAGGUGAUUGGGCCUCGAUGAUAGUGGUUUUCAAUAUUGGGCUCGUGGCCCAGUAGGUAAAUAAAUUGUAAGCCCAUUGGAUUGGCCCAAUUAGGCAUAUCAUUAAGCCCCCCACUCUCGAGUCGAUGUGGGGGCCAUGUUGAAAUGGGUGUCGGAUCGUGUCGAGAGUAAAAAUUAUAGUAGUCGCUCGUUGGCGUAUGGCCUGAUGGUGUGCGAAAACGCGUAGGAGCGUUUGUCGGAAGGGCGUGAAGGUGCGUUGGCGCGUAGCGCGACCAAGUUGUCGCGAUAUAAGUUACUUGAGUCGUCGAUGUAGUCCGGCGACGAUGUACCGGUGAGUUAUCUCCUCAUGGGAGUUGUCUCGUCGCGGGUAAUAGAGUUGAUCGAGUUAUCUCCUCGUGGGAGUUGUCUCGCGAUAAUGUAGCAGCACAGGACGAGUAAUCUCCUCGUGGGAGUUGUUAUUUAUUGACAUUGUCAAUGUUUCGACGCGUUUCUUAUAUGUGUUUACAUAUAGCCUUGUGCGUGAUGUACUUGAGGAGAUGAUCAAGCUCUCAAGAUUUUUUUUUAUGGGGAUCGUGCCCCUUGUUAGACCUCGUAGGUUGUAAGUAUGUUAAGACCGUGGCCACGUUUUAAUGAAGGACCCGUCGAAGACAAGUAGAGAAAUUUGAGUAAUCAAGCUGGCCAGGCUAUAUAGAUUCCCAUAAUAUCUCUAAGUGUUUCUAGGGUCGUAAUCGUGUUAACUUGAGCUUGUGAUUGUGUAGUGAAUUGCGAGCGAGUUGUCUCCUUGAGAAAGUUGUCUCGCAACGAAGUUGUUGGAGCGUUGGAUGACGCUCGACUGAGGAGCGUGCGGAUUGAGGUCGCUCUGAGCGAGUUGUCUCCUUGUUGCAGUUAUCUCGCAAUGAGUCUUACUACCGAGCGAGGUAGCUCCUCAUGGGAGUUGCCUUGCAACGGGUUCGUAGUGUCGAUCGAGUUAGUUCCUCGUGGGAGUUGUCUCGCUGCGGGUUUUAGUAGCGAGCGAGUUGGCUCCACGUAGGUGUUGUCUCGCUGCGGGUUGUAGUACUGAGCGAGUUGGCUCCUCGUGGGAGUUGUCUCGCUAUACGUUCGUAGUACCGAGCGAGUUGGCGCUCCUCGUGGGAGUUGUCUCGCUGCGAGUUCGUAGUACCGAGCGAGUUGGCUCAUCGUGGGAGUUAUCUCGCAACGGGUUCGUAGUUCUGAGCGAGUUGCCUCCUCGUGGGAGUUGUCUCACCCAAGGGUACGUGAUCGCCUCAUCCUAAGUUGUGGAUUAUCCCAUCGGCGCUGCCCCAACCCCCAUCCGGCGACGCCCCAGCCGCCCCAGCACUCGUCCGGCGCCGCCUGAGUACCCGCCUGGCGCCGCCCCAACCCCCACCCCUAUUUCCUCUCUCUUCACCGUCGCCGAACGACAUCUAUGGGCGGUAGGAAAAGGUAAAUAUUUUUUUUCUCGCUUCAAUCAUCUUUCAAUGGUUUUAGGGUUUGUGGGGAAGGUUCCUAUUUGAUAAAGAUAUUGUGAAAAAGACUAUUAAUUCUUAUAAAUUAAUUUUUUUCUUGAUCAGAUUUAUACAGUGACCCUCGUCGGCCUUGUUGGUGGUGGUGUACUGAUCUUGCACUUUUUCCUGGAUAUAGUAGUGACUUACGUUUUAAAUAGCGGAUUUUUGAAUAGUGAAUUUAUGUUUUUUAUAGAUGUGUUAGUAGUGGAUUUACGUAUGUUUUUAGUGGAUUUCGAUAACUUUGUUGUUGAUCAUGUUAUUAUUAAAGUGGAUUACGUUAAUUUUUCGUGAUUGGUCUUGCACUUUUUCUUGGACAUAAUAGUGGUUUACGUUUCUAAUAGUGGUUUACGUUUCAAAUAACGAGAAGAAGAUGAUUACACGGACUAUGCUCUAGGGUUCAUUAGAGGGAAGAUGGUGUCUUUUAUAGUGAGUUUAUAGCUUCAUUUUUCGCAGAAUUUUAAUGUUUUCUUGUUAGAAUUCAUAGUGGUUUUCGAUGUUUAUAUAAUUUUGUAUACAUAGUGGUUUUCAUGUUUAUAUAGUUGUUUUAUGCAGAGUGGUUUUCAUGUUUAUAUAGAUGUUUUCAUAGAGUGGUUUUAAAAGUUAUAGCGGAUUUCGAAGUUUAUAGUGGAUUCAACUUUGAUAAAUCUGCUGGAUGUUUCUUUAAAUAUUAAAAUAAUAAAAAUUAAUCCAAUUAAAAAAAAAUUAAUAAAAAAAUAAUUAAAAAAUAUUUUUUAUUUAAGAAAAGUGGGAAAAAUCAUUUAAAAAAAACCGAAAUUAAGAAAAAAAAAACUAUUAAAAAUGAAAAAAAUAAAACUAUUUUUUAAAAAUUCAAAAUAAAAAAAUGAAAUAUAAAUAACAAAAAAAAAUAAUUUGAAACAAAAAAAACCGAAAAUAAAAAAAUUACAAAAUAAAAGAAAACCAUUAAAAAGAAAAGAAAAGAAAAGAAAAAAAAAAGAAUUUAAAAUGGCAUAAUAUGGGAGAUAUUAAGGGGAUUAGUAUAUCUAAAAAAAUUAAUUAAUUUUCCUUAAUAGUAAAUGAGGGUAUUUUGGAUAAUUCAUGUCAAUUGUGUUUAUAACAAAUAUCAAUUAAUAAAAAUGAAUUAUCAUCAAGUAGAAAUUGAAUUCGGGGUGUUUGUCAUAUAGCCCCUUAAUUAAAAGAGGGAUAUCCAACUUUUUUGUCUUUCAAAUAAAUCCAGCUCAUUCAAACUUAUUUACAAAUAAGGAAAAUUCUUGUAAAUAUACCAAAUUAUCCUUAGAUCAUUGAAACCCAAUUCAACUCCAAUUUCAUGAUUUACACCACAAUUUAGCACAAUUUCACCAAUUAACCAAUUUUAACCCUAAUUUUAAUUUUGACCCCAACUUUGACCCGCCACCACCGGAGACCGUCGGUCAGCCGCCGGUCUCCGGCGUUGACCUUUUUUUUUUAAACCUUUUUUUCUCUGAAACUUUUUUCCGGUAGGUCAACCGUACUUUUCUUAAAAAAAAUAUUAUAAUUAAUAUUACUGUCUUGGCUGCUAAAUUAACUGUCGGAGACAGUAAUUUAACUGUUAAUUGACUUUUUUUUUUUAAUUAAUAUUACUGUCUUGGCUGCUAAAUUACUGUCUCCAACAGUUAUUUAACUGUCGGAGACAUUAAUUUAACUGUUCAUAGAAUAUUUUUUUCUUAAAAAAAUAUUUUAAUUAAUAUUACUGUCUUGACUGCUAAAUUAUUGUCUCCAACAGUUAUUUAGCUGUCGGAGACAGUAAUUUAACUGUUAAUUGACUUUUUUUUUUGAAUUUUAUUUUCUUAAAUAAAAUUAUUUUAAUUAAUAUUACUGUCUCCAACAAUAAUUUAACUAUCUGAUACAAUAAUAUUACUGUAUUAAUUAAUUUUAUCGUUUUGGCGUUCAUUUUUAUUGUCUUAGGCUGUAAUAUUACUAUAUCCGACCGUAAUAUUACUGUCUUAUGCAAUAAUAUUAUUGUUUGGACAGUAAUAUUAGUAAUAUUACUGUUCCGAAAAAUAAUAUUCAUAAUAUUACUGUCCCAGACAUGGGGUAUUUUGUUUAAAUCCGGGGUCAAUGUGUAAUAUUAAGGAAGUUAGAGCAUAAUGAAUGGAAUUGACAAAAAAUAUAUUGAGGGUAUUUUUGACUAAGGACAUGGGGAUGUGUUUAUUUGACAAACUGUUUUUUUUUUUUUUUUUUGUGAGACCAAUGUGCAUUUAAGUCCCUUGUGAUUGGUUUUUUUGUCAUUCGCCCUAUUAUAUUUCAAGCUAUAACCACAUGUGUUCAUUUUUGGGUCUGCAGUUAGACACAACCAUGGGCCGGUUUUCGUCUCGGAACCAGCCCGAACCGGCCCGUUGACGAACCGGACCGGCCCGUUGAUCGGUGAACUGGUCACGGAACCGUGAACCGGCCCGUGUACCUCGAGACGGGCCCGGUUCUAGAAAUAGGUGAUCCGUGAACCUCCGGGCCGGCCCAGCGGUUACGUUCACCCGGAUUUAAAAAAAUAAAAUAAAAAAAGCUGAAAAAAGCUUUAAAAAUCUGAACUAGCCCGGUGAACCGGCCCAGUAAACCGACCGUUACUUGCUCUUUUUUGAAUUUUUUUCCACCCCAUUUUUUCCUAUAAAUUUAAGUUCAAGUCCUUUUAUUUAUUUCCUUUUGUUUUUUUUCUAUUUAAAGUAUUAUUUAUUUAUUUAUCCAUCAAGGAUAUAUAUAUAUAUAUAUAUAUAUAUAUNNNNNNNNNNNNNNNNNNNNNNNNNNNNNNNNNNNNNNNNNNNNNNNNNNNNNNNNNNNNNNNNNNNNNNNNNNNNNNNNNNNNNNNNNNNNNNNNNNNNNNNNNNNNNNNNNNNNNNNNNNNNNNNNNNNNNNNNNNNNNNNNNNNNNNNNNNNNNNNNNNNNNNNNNNNNNNNNNNNNNNNNNNNNNNNNNNNNNNNNNNNNNNNNNNNNNNNNNNNNNNNNNNNNNNNNNNNNNNNNNNNNNNNNNNNNNNNNNNNNNNNNNNNNNNNNNNNNNNNNNNNNNNNNNNNNNNNNNNNNNNNNNNNNNNNNNNNNNNNNNNNNNNNNNNNNNNNNNNNNNNNNNNNNNNNNNNNNNNNNNNNNNNNNNNNNNNNNNNNNNNNNNNNNNNNNNNNNNNNNNNNNNNNNNNNNNNNNNNNNNNNNNNNNNNNNNNNNNNNNNNNNNNNNNNNNNNNNNNNNNNNNNNNNNNNNNNNNNNNNNNNNNNNNNNNNNNNNNNNNNNNNNNNNNNNNNNNNNNNNNNNNNNNNNNNNNNNNNNNNNNNNNNNNNNNNNNNNNNNNNNNNNNNNNNNNNNNNNNNNNNNNNNNNNNNNNNNNNNNNNNNNNNNNNNNNNNNNNNNNNNNNNNNNNNNNNNNNNNNNNNNNNNNNNNNNNNNNNNNNNNNNNNNNNNNNNNNNNNNNNNNNNNNNNNNNNNNNNNNNNNNNNNNNNNNNNNNNNNNNNNNNNNNNNNNNNNNNNNNNNNNNNNNNNNNNNNNNNNNNNNNNNNNNNNNNNNNNNNNNNNNNNNNNNNNNNNNNNNNNNNNNNNNNNNNNNNNNNNNNNNNNNNNNNNNNNNNNNNNNNNNNNNNNNNNNNNNNNNNNNNNNNNNNNNNNNNNNNNNNNNNNNNNNNNNNNNNNNNNNNNNNNNNNNNNNNNNNNNNNNNNNNNNNNNNNNNNNNNNNNNNNNNNNNNNNNNNNNNNNNNNNNNNNNNNNNNNNNNNNNNNNNNNNNNNNNNNNNNNNNNNNNNNNNNNNNNNNNNNNNNNNNNNNNNNNNNNNNNNNNNNNNNNNNNNNNNNNNNNNNNNNNNNNNNNNNNNNNNNNNNNNNNNNNNNNNNNNNNNNNNNNNNNNNNNNNNNNNNNNNNNNNNNNNNNNNNNNNNNNNNNNNNNNNNNNNNNNNNNNNNNNNNNNNNNNNNNNNNNNNNNNNNNNNNNNNNNNNNNNNNNNNNNNNNNNNNNNNNNNNNNNNNNNNNNNNNNNNNNNNNNNNNNNNNNNNNNNNNNNNNNNNNNNNNNNNNNNNNNNNNNNNNNNNNNNNNNNNNNNNNNNNNNNNNNNNNNNNNNNNNNNNNNNNNNNNNNNNNNNNNNNNNNNNNNNNNNNNNNNNNNNNNNNNNNNNNNNNNNNNNNNNNNNNNNNNNNNNNNNNNNNNNNNNNNNNNNNNNNNNNNNNNNNNNNNNNNNNNNNNNNNNNNNNNNNNNNNNNNNNNNNNNNNNNNNNNNNNNNNNNNNNNNNNNNNNNNNNNNNNNNNNNNNNNNNNNNNNNNNNNNNNNNNNNNNNNNNNNNNNNNNNNNNNNNNNNNNNNNNNNNNNNNNNNNNNNNNNNNNNNNNNNNNNNNNNNNNNNNNNNNNNNNNNNNNNNNNNNNNNNNNNNNNNNNNNNNNNNNNNNNNNNNNNNNNNNNNNNNNNNNNNNNNNNNNNNNNNNNNNNNNNNNNNNNNNNNNNNNNNNNNNNNNNNNNNNNNNNNNNNNNNNNNNNNNNNNNNNNNNNNNNNNNNNNNNNNNNNNNNNNNNNNNNNNNNNNNNNNNNNNNNNNNNNNNNNNNNNNNNNNNNNNNNNNNNNNNNNNNNNNNNNNNNNNNNNNNNNNNNNNNNNNNNNNNNNNNNNNNNNNNNNNNNNNNNNNNNNNNNNNNNNNNNNNNNNNNNNNNNNNNNNNNNNNNNNNNNNNNNNNNNNNNNNNNNNNNNNNNNNNNNNNNNNNNNNNNNNNNNNNNNNNNNNNNNNNNNNNNNNNNNNNNNNNNNNNNNNNNNNNNNNNNNNNNNNNNNNNNNNNNNNNNNNNNNNNNNNNNNNNNNNNNNNNNNNNNNNNNNNNNNNNNNNNNNNNNNNNNNNNNNNNNNNNNNNNNNNNNNNNNNNNNNNNNNNNNNNNNNNNNNNNNNNNNNNNNNNNNNNNNNNNNNNNNNNNNNNNNNNNNNNNNNNNNNNNNNNNNNNNNNNNNNNNNNNNNNNNNNNNNNNNNNNNNNNNNNNNNNNNNNNNNNNNNNNNNNNNNNNNNNNNNNNNNNNNNNNNNNNNNNNNNNNNNNNNNNNNNNNNNNNNNNNNNNNNNNNNNNNNNNNNNNNNNNNNNNNNNNNNNNNNNNNNNNNNNNNNNNNNNNNNNNNNNNNNNNNNNNNNNNNNNNNNNNNNNNNNNNNNNNNNNNNNNNNNNNNNNNNNNNNNNNNNNNNNNNNNNNNNNNNNNNNNNNNNNNNNNNNNNNNNNNNNNNNNNNNNNNNNNNNNNNNNNNNNNNNNNNNNNNNNNNNNNNNNNNNNNNNNNNNNNNNNNNNNNNNNNNNNNNNNNNNNNNNNNNNNNNNNNNNNNNNNNNNNNNNNNNNNNNNNNNNNNNNNNNNNNNNNNNNNNNNNNNNNNNNNNNNNNNNNNNNNNNNNNNNNNNNNNNNNNNNNNNNNNNNNNNNNNNNNNNNNNNNNNNNNNNNNNNNNNNNNNNNNNNNNNNNNNNNNNNNNNNNNNNNNNNNNNNNNNNNNNNNNNNNNNNNNNNNNNNNNNNNNNNNNNNNNNNNNNNNNNNNNNNNNNNNNNNNNNNNNNNNNNNNNNNNNNNNNNNNNNNNNNNNNNNNNNNNNNNNNNNNNNNNNNNNNNNNNNNNNNNNNNNNNNNNNNNNNNNNNNNNNNNNNNNNNNNNNNNNNNNNNNNNNNNNNNNNNNNNNNNNNNNNNNNNNNNNNNNNNNNNNNNNNNNNNNNNNNNNNNNNNNNNNNNNNNNNNNNNNNNNNNNNNNNNNNNNNNNNNNNNNNNNNNNNNNNNNNNNNNNNNNNNNNNNNNNNNNNNNNNNNNNNNNNNNNNNNNNNNNNNNNNNNNNNNNNNNNNNNNNNNNNNNNNNNNNNNNNNNNNNNNNNNNNNNNNNNNNNNNNNNNNNNNNNNNNNNNNNNNNNNNNNNNNNNNNNNNNNNNNNNNNNNNNNNNNNNNNNNNNNNNNNNNNNNNNNNNNNNNNNNNNNNNNNNNNNNNNNNNNNNNNNNNNNNNNNNNNNNNNNNNNNNNNNNNNNNNNNNNNNNNNNNNNNNNNNNNNNNNNNNNNNNNNNNNNNNNNNNNNNNNNNNNNNNNNNNNNNNNNNNNNNNNNNNNNNNNNNNNNNNNNNNNNNNNNNNNNNNNNNNNNNNNNNNNNNNNNNNNNNNNNNNNNNNNNNNNNNNNNNNNNNNNNNNNNNNNNNNNNNNNNNNNNNNNNNNNNNNNNNNNNNNNNNNNNNNNNNNNNNNNNNNNNNNNNNNNNNNNNNNNNNNNNNNNNNNNNNNNNNNNNNNNNNNNNNNNNNNNNNNNNNNNNNNNNNNNNNNNNNNNNNNNNNNNNNNNNNNNNNNNNNNNNNNNNNNNNNNNNNNNNNNNNNNNNNNNNNNNNNNNNNNNNNNNNNNNNNNNNNNNNNNNNNNNNNNNNNNNNNNNNNNNNNNNNNNNNNNNNNNNNNNNNNNNNNNNNNNNNNNNNNNNNNNNNNNNNNNNNNNNNNNNNNNNNNNNNNNNNNNNNNNNNNNNNNNNNNNNNNNNNNCCCGGAGAUGAUUCUUGCCCCCAAGAAUCCGAGUUAGGUUCAGAAUCCAUAAGCUCUGGUGGUGCGUCUGUAGCUGCGGGUGGAAGCUUGGUGACUGAUGCAGUUGGUUUCACGGUCCGCUUUAGUAGGGAAACAUGGAAGACAUCGUGGAUCUUCGCACCCUCAGGUAAUAGCAAUUUGUAUGCCAUUCUUCCAAUUUUUGCAAUAAUUGGGUAGGGACCAUAGUACUUAUUUGCUAAUUUCUGGUUGGCUCGAGAAACAACCGAAUUCUGUCUGAACGGUUGUAAUUUUAGAUAGACUUCCUCCCCCACUUCAAAAGACCUCUCAAUUCUGUGUUUAUCUGCAUACCAUUUCAUUCGAGCCUGAGCUUGAGUGAGAUUCUGUUUAAUUAAUCUCCACGCAUCCAUCCUCUGUUGGACCAUUGCUGUAACUUCUGGAUUGAUGCUGUCUAAAUAGGGACUUAGGGAUAGGUUAUUAGGGGAAUACCCAUACAGUGCUUGGAAAUGUGACAUCUUGAGGCUGGUAUGAUAAUUGGUAUUAUACCAGUACUCAGCCAAAGAGAGCCACUUCAUCCAUCUGUGAGGGUGCUGGCUAGUACAGCACCUGAGAUAAUUCUCCAAGCACUGAUAGAGUCUUUCUGUCUGUCCAUCACUCUGAGGAUGGUAUGCUGAACUCAUAUUCAGCUGAGUCCCCAAUAAUUUAAAUAACUCCACCCAAAAACUGCUAGUGAAAACCUUAUCUCUAUCAGUGACUAAGCUCACUGGCUGCCCAUGUAGUUUAAAAAUGUUAUCUAAAAAUAAUUUAGCCACAGUAGCUGCACAGAAAGGGUGAGAUAAUGGCAAAAAAUGUGCAUACUUGGUAAAUCUAUCAAUAACCACUAAGAUAACAUUUUUACCCUCAGAUUUAGGCAGACCUUCAAUGAAAUCCAUGGAGAUGUGGGUCCAUGCUCCAGUAGGAAUCUCAAGAGGUUCCAACAGUCCUGGGUAUGGGGUGUUUUCAUGUUUAGCCCUGUGACAAACAUCACAACCUUGAACCCACUCUAUAACCUUGGCCUUCAUUCCAGGCCAAUAGAAAAUACCCUUUAACCUUUGAUAGGUUCCCAACAUACCAGAGUGCCCACCAAUUGUUGAACUGUGGAAAAACUCUAGUAAUUUAGCCCUCAAAUCUGUAUGUGAGCCAACAUAAACCUUUCCCUUGAACCUCAGUACCCCUUGUACAACUCCAUAGUCCCCAUAAGCUGUGUCAUCAAUGGCCUUAGCUGCCAUUAUCUUGCUAACCUCAGAGUCUCCUUUAUAGCUCUCCACAAUUUCCAGUAACCACCUUGGCUGCACUGUAGAUAUGGCAUUAACACUAGCUGAGUGAUGUUCUUGCCUAGAUAAUGCAUCUGCCACCUUAUUCUCCACCCCUUUCUUGUAUUGUAUCUCAUAGUCCAAUCCAAUAAGUUUAGAAAUCCACCUCUGUUGAAGGGCAGUGGUGAAUUUCUGAUCCACAAUGUAUUUAAUACUUUGUUGGUCUGUUCUGAGGAUGAAGUGAUGGCCUUGCAAAUAGUGCUUCCACUUUUGAAUAGCAAGAAGAACAGCCAUAAAUUCCCUUUCAUAAAUAGAUAGGGUUUGAUGAUUGGCAUUUAAGGCUUUGCUCAAGAAUGCAAUGGGCUUACUGUCCUGCAUCAGUACUGCUCCCAGACCAGUAGAACUGGCAUCAGUUUCUACUAUAAAUGGUUUGGUGAAAUCAGGCAAAACAAGAACAGGGGAAGUUGCCAUAAUUUCCUUGAGUUGUGUAAAGGCCAGCUCAGACUCUGGUGUCCACUUGAACUGCCCUUUUUUAAGCAUGUCAGUGAGGGGUUUGCUCACAAUACCAUACCCUUUAAUGAACUUCCUGUAGUAGCCUGUCAGUCCUAGGAAGCCUCUGAGCCCCUUGACAGUAGUAGGUUUGGGCCAAUUCACCAUACUCUGAACUUUAGUUGGGUCAGUGGACACUCCAUGUGCACUGAUAAUAUGGCCCAAGUACUCUAUAUUGGUCUGUCCAAACUGGCAUUUGGAUUUCUUGGCAUAGAGCUGAUGAUCUCUCAAUAUUGUCAAAGUGGUGUCUAAAUGCUCCAUAUGCUCUUCCAAACUUGAGCUGUACACCAGUAUAUCAUCAAAGAAUACUAACAAAAACUUCCUCAGAUACCUUGCAAACACCUGAUUCAUGAGAGAUUGGAAUGUGGCAGGGGCAUUACAAAGCCCAAAUGGCAUCACCAUAAAUUCAAAAUGGCCAUGGUGGGUUUUGAAAGCUGUUUUGUACACAUCCUCAUCUCUCAUCCUAAUCUGAAAAUAGCCAGACCUCAAGUCUAUCUUUGAAAACCAUUUAGCUCCAUACAGUUCAUCUAAAAGCUCAUCAAUGAUUGGUAUAGGGUAGUCAUGUUUAACUGUCAUGGUGUUCAAAUAUCUAUAAUCAACACACAUCCUCCAUGAAUUGUCUUUCUUCUUAACCAAUAAGACAGGAGAUGCAAAAGGGCUUUGACUUUGCCUAAUGAUUCCUCCUUGCAACAGUUCUUCAACAAUCUUUUCUAUUUCAUCUUUGGCAGAGUGUGAAUAUCUGUAGGGAUAUAAGUGUUUAGGUAGGGCAUCAGGCUUGAGUAUGAUUUGAUGUUCAACCCCCCUUACUGGUGGUAGCCCUUGGGGCUCAGCAAACAACCCCUCAUAUAUUCCCAACAACCUCUGGAUCUUUUCAGGCACAAUGACAGCCUCACUGUUGGUUUGAAUUGUGCAAAACUGGCCCCCUUUUCCAAUAGAAUCAGCCUCUUCCUUGCCCAUUCCAGUGUAUACAGUCAGCAACUUGCCCUCCUCAAAGUCCUCUCUAGCAGUAAUCACCACCUUCUGAUCCCCUCUCUUGAGCUUAACAAACCUUCUUUUGUAAUCAAACUUCACAGGACUGUUCUCCCACAACCAAUCACACCCUAGAACAAUGUGAAACCCUUUGAGGGUCAGCAACCUCAGAGGGAAAGUGAAUGGCUCACCUUGCAUCAUCCAAAUUAGGCCAUUGACAACCCUUUUGCUGACAGUCUUGGAACCAUUUGCCAUUGUCACAGUCAUAGGGCUAGUUUCAUCAAUGUGGCAAUGGAGCUGGAUAGCCAAAACUUCACUGAUGAAACUGUGGGUGCUUCCUGUGUCAAUGAGAAUGUUCAGAGGUCCCCCUUCUACUUCACCAACUACCUUGAUGGUUUUCACACCACUAUUCCCCUCAAUGGCAUUCAAAGAUACCUCCCCAUCACAGUUAAUCUCUCCUCUUUCUGAGCUGUCUUCUCCAGCUAUGGUGAGUAAAUGUGUUUCUUCCUCUUCAUCAGUCAUAAUCAUAUACAAUUGAUUAAACUUGCACUUAUGGUUUUGGCUAUACUGUUCAUCACAGUUAAAGCACAGGCCCUUCAUUCUUCUGGCCUUCAUUUCUUCCCUAGUAAGUAGUUUCCUAGGUGGCAUGAGGGCUGGUGGGGUAUAUUGUGUCUUAGUUAGCUGGUUCUGGUGUGAAUCAGAGUUUGAUACUGGUCUCCUUUGCUGGUUCUGGUAUGGCACCAUUUGUUUCAUUCCACCUUUAGCCCUCCUGGAAACAGCUUCUAGGGUAGCCUCUUGUUUCCUGGUCAUUUCAAUAGCAUGUUGAAAUGAUUUGGGUUCAAACAAAUCAAAGAAUUUCUGAUUCUCCUCAGGCAGACCACUAACAAAGAAAGUCAGAAAAAACUCAUCAUCAUAUUCUCUAGUGUUGAACAUCAACAAAUAAGCUCUAAGCUCCUCAAAUUUAUCAAUGUAGGCCUCCAAAGAGUUUGUAACUCUCAACUUGCCAAUCUCAGCUAACACUUUAGCUUCCCUCAGAUCCUCAAAUCUAGCAGAAACUAAGCCAACAAACUGAUCCCAAGAAUAAACCCUAUUAUUCUGUGAGAUAUGCCCAUACCAAAUGGCUGCUCUACCCUCAAAAUGCAAAGCAGCUAACACCACCUUUUGAGUGUCAGGUAUGUUAGACACCAACUGGAAAUACCCUUGACACUUAAACAGCCAUGUUCUAGGGCUGCUACCAUCAAAUCUGGGGAAUUCAAUCUUAGGGUUUGGGCUGUAAUUACCAGAGAAAGGGUUUGAGUUUACCAUCACAUCUUGCCCCCUGUUGUUUUUGUAUUCUUGAGGCCUGGUGAACUGCUCUGGUUGGGCAGUAAAUGGUGUUGGAUUUGUGCCUGAUGCAGAUCCUUCUCCCAUAAUGGAUUUGUCUCUAUUAUACAUCUCUAUUCUCUCCGCUAUUUUGCCCAACUGAAUUUGAAUGAUUUCAAAUGAUUUCUUUGUUUCCUCAUGAUUUAAGCUGAUCUGUUCCUGCAGGUUUGUUUCCACAUCCACUCUCUUGUCCAUUUCCUCCUGCAGCUUCUGCUCCAACAGUUUCCGGUGUGCUUCCAAUCUGGUGCCGUCCGCCAUCAGAUCAGACCUUGCUCUGAGUACCAAUUGUCAAGAUCCACGGAUGUAAUAAUAUUUGUUUAUUGUAAUUUAUGAUAAUAUUUGUAAUUACUGUAUCAAUUUAAGAAACUGAGAUAAGAAUAGAAAGACUUGGGAAGGAAGAAAGUAGGAAAGGAAAGGAUUAGUGAAACUUUUUCAUAAAAAUAUUCAUCAUCCCAGCAGUAGUAUAAAUACCCCUUCCAAUACAGGGAAUAUUUCUUACCCUAGCCCAAUAACACAAAACAUCAGCAGAAACUUAAAACAAAACAGACAAAAUAACUAUUGGGCUUAAGACAAACAAAUGGCCCAAUAAAAUUAAACCAGUAACAUAAGUGGGCUGCUAAAUUCGGCCCUUUGCCCCGAAGUCCGGUGCAUCCAAAACGACAUCGUUUUGUCCUUCAAUUUCUUCUUCAAUUCCCGAUUGUGCCAAGACUCCUCCUUUAGCAAUUCUAGGGUUCCUCUUCUUCUUCAGCCCCCAAUUCACCCCAAUCCUGUCCAUCUUCGUCUCUUACAUUCGAAUCCUAGGUCCACGCGGUUUUCUUACACCCCAGGAUGUAACACACUUACUGAAUGAACAAAAAAUACUCUUGUGCAUGUAUUAAAGUCGUUCGUGUACACGACUCGAAUUCAUAUUUGAGCCUUGUUGAUCAUGUAGUGUAGCCUAUAAUCAUCUUCCUAUUGUUGGAUUGAUUAAAUAAAUUAAAAUACCUAAAAGCCAAGUGAUGAAAAGAAAAAGGAGAAAAAAAUAAUUAGAAGUGUGCCUCGGUAAGUGCAGAAAUAUUAAUGAAUUAAUUAUUGUAUUGAACUUGAUUUCUGCAAAAAGAAGACAAAUAACGGUAUUGUAACUUGUAAGUUGUAACUUGUACUGUACACCCCCACCCCCUCUCUUACACACAGAGAGAGAGGCACAGACAUAAUAAUAAAGAAAAAAGACAGAGAGACAUGCAGAAUUGUGGAGACCACGUGUUCGAUGAACAAGAAAUCCUCCACAGCGCCGCUAAAUUGUAAAUUAUGUGACGUCAGCCCUAUAUACACUAUACUACCCACAGGAACUUCUAUUUAUUCAGAGACCUCCAUCCUUCCCCUUCACAAUUCAUUUCACUCAUAUAAUUAUUAUUAUAUUUAAUUACUCUUUAAGGUAAUUAAGAGACACUGCUGUGUUUUAAUUACUGUCUACUGAUCUCUCUCUCUCUCUCUCUCACUUCUUUCUCUCUCUAUAUAUAUAAUUUCUUAUACUAGCUAUUUGUUCAAUUUUUGUAUAGCAGGAAAAUAAAUGAUGGGAUUGAGGGGUUUUAUAGCAAUUGCAUGUUUGUUAUUUCUCUUGUCAAUAAUAGUAGCAAAUGGCGGCUCUGAACGAGGGUGGAAUGAUGCUCAUGCCACUUUUUAUGGUGGUGGUGAUGCUUCUGGAACCAUGGGUAUGUAUUUAUGAAUGUAUGUAUGUAUGUAUGUAUUAAUUAGUUGAAAUGUUAUGUUUCUCAAAUAAAUGAAACUUGGUCAGAAAUCAGAACGCAAUUUUCAAGAUUUGUCGUUUUUCUUUGAAAAUUUUCGACUAUGGAACAAUUUAUUUGUAUUUUUUUUUCCAUUCCAAAUUUUGCAAAUUCCAAUUUUCGUUUUUUAUUUUAGUUUUUGGAUCAGAAUUGGAAUUAUUCUCGCAUACAAAUUAAAACAAUUUAGAACUUCUAUUAUAUAAUUCAAAUCCGAUUCAAAUUUUCAUGUAAAUUAUCUAAAACAGUUUGCAACUUGGCUUAAUUUUAAUAUCUUUAACAUUUCCAAUUCGAUUUUUCUUGAAUUGUUAAUUAAGCCAUGGAGUGAAUUAAGUUGGUUAAAUUGGUGGUUAUUAAUGAAUUAAUUAAUUGCAGGUGGGGCGUGUGGGUAUGGUAAUUUGUACAGCCAAGGGUACGGUACAAACACAGCAGCACUGAGUACAACACUAUUCAACAAUGGGCAGAGCUGUGGAGCUUGCUUUGAGCUAAAAUGUGUGAAUGAUGAAAGGUGGUGCCUCCAAAGCUCAAUUGUGGUAACUGCAACUAAUUUCUGCCCUCCAAACAACGCCUUACCGAACAACGACGGCGGGUGGUGCAACCCGCCCAACCAACACUUUGACCUCUCUCAGCCCGUUUUCCAACAAAUCGCCAAACAAGAAGCCGGGAUUGUGCCGAUUCUUUAUCGAAGGUAUGAUGUAUAAUCGUAAAUAUAUUUAUACGUAUCUGCAUAAUUUAUAAAAAUAAAAUAAAAAAAUACACUACUUUUCUUUUUUUGGUGUUAGUACUGAAGGAACCAGCAGCUAUAACUAGCUAACUGUAUAGGUGCAAUGGAAAAAAUUACACUACUUUAUAUUUAUGGCGGCUCAAUAUUUUUGUGUAUUUUACAUAAAUGUGUAGGGUACCGUGCCAAAAGAAGGGUGGCAUUCGGUUCACGGUAAAUGGUCACUCCUAUUUCAAUCUCGUCUUAAUUACCAACGUCGGAGGCGCCGGUGAUGUACAAUCGGUCUCGAUAAAAGGUUCAAGGACAAAUUGGGAACCAAUGUCUCGUAAUUGGGGGCAAAAUUGGCAGAGCAACUCUAAUCUUGACGGUCAAAGCCUCUCGUUCAAGGUCACCACCAGCGACGGCCGCACGGUGGAGUGCAGUGAUGUCAUCCCCGACGGUUGGUCGUUCGGACAAACCUUCAUCGGAGGACAAUUCACUUAGAAUAAUCUAUUUUCGAUAUUAAUAUAGGAAAUUGCACGUACGUGUUUUUUUGAACGCUACGUGAAAUAAAUUAGGGUUGAGAAUUGGAAGAGCUUUAUUAUUACAUAAGCUCGAACCAAUUUGGGUGUUUUUCAUAAUGUUGAUGAAGUGUUUUAUGUCUUGGUCUUUCUUUUAAUGUAAGAUUUAAGACAGAUAUUUUGGCAGUGAUUUAGGUUCGGGUGAAUUCCAUUUUUUCCUCUUGUACUUUGUCUCGAUAUCACUUUAUCCCUUUCUACUCUCGAUUGCAUUGAUUUGUCUCCAUGUACUUGAAAAAUUGUUUCAAUUCAAUGUGGUCAUCGUCGUUAGUUUUAUGACCUUUGACCUUAACACCGUUUGAUCUAGGUCCAAAAAAUUACGAAAAAAUCACCCCUCUCAGUUUAAAUAAUUAUUAAAAAAAUAAAAAAAAAAUUGUGGUUGGCGUUGGUCACUAUGUUUUCUCGUUGUCUUGAAUUUUUAUUAUUUUUUUUUUGUUUUUUUUUAAAUUAUUUAAACCGGGAGAUGUGGUGUUUUUGUAAUUUUAGAGCUUAGAUCAAUCGAUGUUAAAGUCAAAUGACUGGGUGAAAAAUUGAUAUAAUCGAGAAUAGAACAGGGUAAAGUGAUACCGAACCAAAAUAUAAUCGGAAAGUGGAAGUUACCCUUUAGAUUUUGAUUUAACAUCAUAUCACCACCCGCCAUUAAUUACUUCGUAGCAUUUACCCCUCAAGCACUAUUUAAUUAUAAUACUUUCAAAUUUUUUAUAUUACCAAAAGUGAUAACUAAAAAAAAAUAAUUAAACUAUUUUAUUAAAACAUAUUCAUAUUGAUAAUUAAAUAACAUCUAAUUGUUGUUGGACCAAUUAAUCGAAUAUAUUCAUGUCGAUAAAUUUUAAUAAAUCAAUAUAUAACUAAUAGUAAUCUUAAGUAUUUAAAUUUAAUUUAUUUCAUCAAUUUCUAAAAAUAUAUUUUCAUUAAUUAUUAUACAAUAUAUAUAUUACUUUUUAAUAAUUUAAUUUUAGUUACUUUUCAAUUUUAUAUGAUCAAAUAAUUAUUAGAUUGUAAUGUUUAUUAUGUUUUAAAUUUUAAAAUAUAAAAUAAUUGAUUUUGAGGGGGCCAAUUGUACAAAUAAUACUUUAAGGGGCAAGUCUUUACAUAAGUUAUACUUCAGGGGUGAAAUUGUAUUUAACUUUUUUAAUUUUAAUUUUAUUUUUUGGUAGUCCAUAGUUUUGUGUAUUGGGAAAAGCAAAUUUGGUGCUUUUCUCAAUGUUGAGUGUGAUGAAGCUUCCUCGGUAAGAGUGUUGUUUCAGAUGUUUUUUAAAUUGUAAACCGUUGAUGUUGUCUGUAUCUAGGUUUUGCCUUUUGUCUACUGCAAUAAAAAAGACCUAUGAGCCCCGGGUUUUAUUGUCAUACUGUUACCUCAAUCCACGAGCUUUCUAUUUUGUGAAUUACUUAUAUUAUUGGACCAGUAUACUUUGCAAUAAAAUUCAAUUUUUUUUCUUUUCAAUAAGUUCUUAAUAUGUUUAAAGAAUAAUUUUGUGUUUUCUAUUGAAUUGAAUUCUAUUUAUUACAACUCUUAAUUCAUGUACAUUUAGUUUAAACCACACACUACUUUUAUCACACAUAUUGGCAUCUUCAAUUGAGUAAGCAAACCGGCAAAAUAUAGACACUGCAGAAGAAAUCCAACACCAACAAAUAUUUAGAAGGGCCCUAAAUUUUCAGAUUGUUGUGAAAUCUCCAAAUUUGUUCCUAAAUAAUAGGUAUAUUUGGAAGUGUUUUGAAACUUAUUUAUUUUGAUUUUAUUUUGAGGAAAUAUGUUUUGUUGGAAAGAAUUUGAGAAUGAAAGUAAUGUUUGUUUAUAAUUUGGAAGAAGACAAAAUACACUAUAGCAGUCAAAUCAUGUUUAAAGGUGUUAGAAAAAUGUAUUUUAGAAGAAAAAAAUUGAAAGAUGAAGUGAUGUUUAUCUAUUUUUUAGUGAAGACAUAUUUUACUGUAGCAGUAAAAUCAUUUUACUGUAACAGUCACAUCAUGUUUGAAGGAGAGAGAAACUUUUGAAAUUGUUUUGAGAAAAUUAUUUGCAAAGUUUAAUAAAUAUAAUUUUUGUUUUGGGGAAUCAAUGAAACCAAAAUAAAAAUGCUUCCAAACAUUGCCUAGAUGUCUUUGUUUGGGGAGACUCACAUUUCUUGCAUUUAAAUUUUGAAAUUUCUUUUUCAAAUAAAAAUUAAAAUUUGAAUGAUUUGCAAAUAUAAUCGUUGGUUUCCAACGGUAAGAAAAAAAUGAAAAAAACAUAAAGACCUCUAAUUAUUCUUCAUCUUUUUUAUCACUUCUAAAUUUUCUAAUUGUGAGUUUUUUGUUUUCUUCAAUGCUUGUAGAAAUUUGGAGGAAUUUCACUGGGCUUAUGAGAAUUGAAGAAAUUAGAAGUAGAUGGUUGGGUAGGUUGUCAAUACUUGAAGAAAUUUGUAGCAGAAUAUUUUUUUCCUCUAUGUUUCUGGUGUGUUGAUAAACAAGGAGAAUAAUAAAAUUAUGGGAGGAAGGGCGUGCUCUGUUGUGCUUAAUUAAGUUUAACUAAUUAGAGAUGAGUAAACAAAAAAUAAAAAAGGAAAAAAAAAUAUGUGGGGUUAAAGGCAGUGGAAAUUAGUGGGUGGUUACAAAUAUUUUAAUUGAAAUUAUAUCCAAUGAUUGUGGUUCAACAUUUCAUAUCUUUAAAAAAAAAAUCAUUUUUUUGGAUCGAAAUAUGCAUUAAAAAUAAUUAAGAUUGUUCAAAUAAACUUUAAUUUUCUACAAUCUCGUAUAUUAAUAAAAUUUUAGCCCUAAUCAAAUUACUAUAUAAAAUAAUCCAUAACAUAAUUUAAAGACUCAAAAUUAUAGAGCCCUCCAUUAUAGAAUUAUGCUUUUUAGAGACUCUAAAUUCUACUAGGUCUCUAAAAUAGAAUUUGGUGAUCCGAUCUGCUUACUCCAUUGGACAUACCCUAAUGAAUAAUCUACGGAUGGCAACGGGUAGGUUUUGGAACGGGUCUGUCUAAACCCGAAACUCGACCCGUGAAAAUAUAUAUAAAACCUAGCCCCGCCCUAACCUGUCUUAGCUUAUACCUAGAUUUGCCCCGACCCAUAGCGAAACUAAACGGUUUCGACCCGCCAAACUCGAUGAACUCGUUAACAUCAAACAAAAAAUUUAACAUUUUUUAACUUUUAUAAUAUUUUGCUUGUAUAUUUUAAUAAAAGAAUCUCAAAAUUAAAAUGCAAUUUUACAAGUAAUAUAAAGUGAUUCAUAAACUUCUCUAAUUAAUUAUAGGGGUCAUAUGAUAUAACCUACUCGUACAAGUUUCUUAGAGGUAUAAAUUCACUUUUUUAUUCACUAUUAGGGAUAACCCCUCAUUAAGGUUAAUACCUCAUUUACCCCUAUUAUAUUCAUAAAAAUAUAAUUAAAUUAUUGUUGCAUAAUCAAAUCGGGCUAAUCUCCCCUAAAAUAACUCCCCUUAAAUCUCUAACCAACUCGCCCAAAUCUCUGAAUGCAAAUCACGCCAUUUCAUUUUUUUCAUUCCUUUACAAUCUUUUUCUAAUUUCGAUUUAAAAAUAUUGUUUUUUUUUUCUUUCAUUUUUCAUUUUUUUAAAUGGUUUUUUACUGCAAGUUUAACAAAAAAUUGAAAUCCACCACAUACUCACUGAAAACCACUAUAAAUUCUUCAAAACCCACAAUGCAAUUAACGUUGGAAUCACUAUGUAAUUAUCGUAAUCAACUUUAAUAUUAAUGUAAUCCACUACAAAUGUAUCAAGAUCGAAUAAAAAUUUACAUAAUCCACUACGAAUUAACGUAAUCCAUUACAAAAUUAUCAAAAUCCACUACAAAGUUAUCAAAAUCCACUUUAUUGGUUAAAGUAAUCCACUAUAAAAUUAACUUAAUAUAUGGUUAAUCCACUACAAACUUAUCGUAGAAAAACACUUAUACAUCAACAUCAAACUUAUCAAAAUCCACUACAAACUUCCGAAUUUAUGAUAGUGUUGCUCGUGGUUUUUGUUAGGUUAGAGUGACCCUUUGAUAAACACUACAAACUUAUCAUCACCUAACAUCGUCCCACUUGCUGCAAUCACUUCGUUUGUGGAAGAACCUAAACCAAAGAAAGAGAAGACAACAACGUGUCAGUUUAAUUCAUUCAUUAAAAAUCGGUCUCCAAAGCAAGAAUUUAAAAUCCACUAUAAUCUCGUUGACAUCGAUUUCUUCUGUUUGUGCUUUCUCUUGCAUUUUUUUUUUCCGCCACAGUGGUCCUUCAUUCCGUGAAAAUCAGAAGAAAGAGAUGGUGGAUGAAUUUCGAUCGCGCGAGAGAGAGAGGGGGAGAGAAAACUGGUGUGACUAGGGUUAAACGAUGCGGAAUAUGAGUUUGGUGGAGGGUAUAAUUGUACUAUAUAAUUUAAAAUAAAUUAGUGAUUUAUCUUAAAAAGCAGAAAAAAAAAAUGGACGCCCACUAAUAGUAAAUGUCAUAUCAGGGGUUAUGUCAAAUAAUCCCUUAAUUAUAUGUUCAACUUCUACAAUAAAUAAUGUUCAAAAGGUAGAACCGUCAGCGGUGGUCUACAAGUAAUAGAUAUGACUUGCGAGAAAUUAGACAAUAAAAAAAAAAUGGGUAAAUGAGAAUAGACACGAUGGAAAUUGAAAUUUUGAUAAUUGAAAUCGAAAAUAAUAAAUAGAAAUUCGAAUAGUUCAAUAGCCCGUUAUAAAACCCGUCUUGUAGCGAAGUGAUUCAUUCAGCGUCCAGGAAUUGUUUUUUUCUGAAACUUACUGUCCAAUUGUUAAGCAUGCUAUUAUUCUCCUAAUAGUUAAACUUGUUGUAGCCAAUGGUUGCCACUUACACCAACUAAUUAAAUAUUAACAAUGCCUUCUUGCAGGUAUCUCAAACUGAUGCGACUUUGUACCGGCAAACACUCGAGCCCUUCAAUAUUUGACUCUCACUUGACUUAGAUAUACCAUUUGCAGUUAAUCAACUAUCUCAGUUCAUGCAUUGUCUAUCUUCGCGGACUUGGACUGUUGUGAAACGCGCUUACUUCGCUAUCUCGUUGGCACUAUUGAGUAUCGAUCAUGGACUCAUGUGGCAAAAAGUCACCCCAAACACUUCAUCCCUUUGUCGAUGUAGAUUGGGCGCGAGAUCCUACAGAUCAAACAUUGACAUCUGCCAAUGUUAUCUUUUUUGGUAUCAACCCCAUCUCUUGGAGCUAUAAAAAGCGAGAAAAAAAAAAGGUCGCAAGGUCGUCAACCGAGGCUGAAUAUUGUGCUAUUGCAUCUAUUGCGGCAGAGUUAAAUUGGAUCAUGAAUUUGCUUCAAGAAUUAUGAGUUCUGGUGGCUUCUAUACAUAUUAACUAUUGUGACAACAUAAGUGCCACUUAUGUUUGCACAAAUCGUAUAUUUCACUCACUAAUGAAACUUCUAAAUUGAAAAGAAGAAGAAGCAAUUAAUGAUUCCUUAAACUUCUAAAGUAACAAAUUAUUUGGAACAUAAAUAUUCUUUUCCAAACCAACAAAUAAUAUCGGAAGGAAGGAGUAAUUACGUGUAUUUCAAUUAAUUAAGACUGAUAAAUGAUAGAUUGAAAAAACAUGCAACUAAUGAUUUAUCAGAAUUUUAAAAUGACAAAUAAUUUGGAACAAACAAAAUUCUAAAAUGACAAACAAUUUGAAACAAACAAACUCCCAAGUAUGUGAAGUUCUUUGUGUUCUUGAUCACGAACUCCCAGUUGCAGUCUAUUUAAAAUCAUGCACUGUUUUUUGACGUUCUUAAUAGAUUUGUUGUUAAAGUUUUGGUUAAAUUACGGCCAUCCUCUGAGGUAAAGAUAAAUUAUGAAACUCCCCCUCAUGUUUGAGUAAUUACAACCAUCCCCUCAACUAUGAGUUUUCUUACACGUCCAUACUUAUGGUGUCAAAUUCAACUUACUUUUCCAGAUUGCGAGGAAUGUUUUAUAUUUUAUACUCGUUUUGUGCAAAAAUGCAGUUUCUAUACACAACAAUCUGAUAUUUACAAGCCAAAAGACACCUUAUGAUCAUCUUGUGUCAAAAGUGGUUUUUUCGUAGUUUGACGUUACCUCGGGGGUGGCGUAAUUUGCCCUGAAUUUUAUUACAAUGUCUGAAAAAGGCGCAUUUAGCAACCUGAAUGUGGAUGGUUUUUGCCUGAAAUUUGAGCUGUAUUGUAAACAAUGAAUGGACCAAAUAUUGGAUUUUUUAUCAUUUAGCAAUAAUUAUUUUUAGCCAUUACAACAAUAUAUGUUGCUACACAAUUCCUUCUUUUUUAUUUUUCUUUAUUUUCUUUAUUAUUUUUUUUCCCACCGUUGCUCGAGCCGUCAAAUCAGUUUAGGAUUCGACGGGCUGAACUAAAAACCUGUAAGAAAGGAAAUUGGCAAACACACAUGUCUGUUUAUAGGCAGCAUUUUCUUAUUGAAUCUAAUUUCGCAGUCCGAGGAGGUUAAAUAGGUACAUCUCGAGCAACAGCACGUACGAAGUAACUUUUGCAAUAAAAGAUCUUCCAAACUUCCGGGGGCAAAAUGUGUACGAACCAGUCUUCUACUUAAUACCUGAACUAAUUCGGCGGCUGCAAAAUAAUAAACAAGUAAAACAGAUAAAUGAGACGAAAAGAUUACACAAUGUUCAAACAAGUUGAUCUUUGUUUGAUUCCCAUUGUUGCCUUAGCAACAUUUAUUGUAAAAAAAAAUUAGUAAAUCGUAGAAAACCGAAACCGAAAGUUAUAUAUUGGUCAUUAUUUAUUUUUGAGUUAAUUGCAUUUAGUACCCUUGUGUUACACCGAAUUGUAAAAAAAGUCCUUGUGUUAUAAAUAUUAGGAAAAAAACGCCCUACAAUGCAUUUAUUUAGCGCAAACCCCCUAAAUGGCGUAUUCUUAGAGGGUAGUUUGCUAAUAAAAUUGAAUCAUAGGGGCGAUUUUGCUAAUAUUUAUAACACGGGGAGUUUUUUGACGUUAAAGAAAUCAAUAAGCUAAUCCACAACUUAAAUUCCAUUACAAAUGUACGAGGAAGUUAGAACAGGCUCACCUGUGGAUAAGAGUUCUCGUUCAGCAUAGAAAUCGCACACGAACCAGCUGAAGGAACCAAACCGUGCGGAAAAUUGUUGUAAACAACAGAGCCCCGGAGUUCGAAAUUACUGUUUAUUUGAUAUUCCAUUGCACCCGGUUGGAAAUUCGCCUCUUUCGUAGGGUCCACCAUCAACUCCGGGAAGCUUAGGUUUCCGAACGAAUGGUAUUGGUAUUGGUCGGGAAUCGGGAGCCUCAAGCUGGCGGAGUACGUGUAGUCGUCAAUAGUUAUGCCGUCGUGUCUAUCGUUUUUCAAUUCUCUUGAAUUGUCGAUAUUUAUGUGUUCCUUCAAAUCGCCAAAGUAGCCGGAGCAUGUCGGAAACGAUGCAUCCCUCGUGCACUCCAUAUCUCUGAAAUUCGUAAUAAAUUGAAAUUACAUUUGAAGUUUUUUAUGAUUCAAUUAAUAUGGAGUAAGCUAUUAUCGGCCCUAGUUUUUGAAUAAUAUAUAGGGUAAAUUACAACCACCCCUUGGGAUAUGGUCAAAUUACGAAAAAACCCAUCUUGUUUGGAUAAUUACAUUUAUCCCCUCAACUAUGAAUCUUCUUACACCUCUACCUUUGUGGUGUCCAAUUCAACAUAAUCAUCUAGAUUCCAUGGGAAGUUCUCUAAUUUGUACUCGUUUUGUGCAAAAAUACAGUUUCUGGUGCACCACAAUCUGAGAUAUACAAGCCGAAAAACAUAUCUUAUGAUCAUCUUGCUUCAAAAUGUGGAGCUCGAAGGGGAUAAAACAGGUACAAAAUUGAGAAUAUUCCAUAUAAUCUAGAAGAUUCCACUAAAUUUGAAACCGCAAGGAUGGACGUGUACGAAGAUUUAUAGUUGAGGGGUGGUUGUAAUUACCCAAACAGGAAGGGAGUUUUCGUAAUUUGACCAUACCUCAGGGAGUGGUUAUAAUUUACCCUAAUAUAUAUAGGAACCAAACAAUAAUAGUAUCGUAUGCUUAUCUAAGGAACUUUAAGGCCACGUUUGGAUUAUGUGAUUAGCUACAUAAUUGGACUUUAUUGGAUGUUUAGGUCUAAUGACUUUUCGGGGUCGACACGCAUGUGGAAAAAAAUAGCUCUGAUCUGGGCUGAUUAGGAGAAUAUGUAUAAUCGGGUUUUCAUAAGAUUAUUAUUUAAUCUUAUAUUGGUUAAUCUUAUCUUAGGAACCAAACGAAGGAUCAACUCACCGAGUAGUCAAGAAAUGGGGCUCGUUUGGUAGUAUCAUAUGUUGACUAUCGCCACCCGGAAGCCAUGAUUGGUUUCCGCAACCCUGAUCACUCGUCGUCGCUAUGGGAAACUGCAUCCCCGUUUGGAACUGAAAUUUGAAAAAAAAAAAUUAGAACGUUAUAAAUUAAAACCCUAGCAAAAUCUCCACAAACCUAUAUCACAUGUGUGAAAAGAAAUAGAAAGAGAAAGAAAACGGAAUUUAUGUAGUAGUAUUUAUUGCGUCGUUACCUGGUUUGUGCAAUCGAAUGGAAUAUGCGUGUCCUUCAAAAACUUUUCCUCCUGAAAGAAGACGAGAAUAUUUAAAACGGCUCGUAAAUACAUUUUUAUAUAAUGCAUUUCUUUUUUUCUUAACUAUAAAUUUCUAGCACUUGAAAUUUAUAGUUUCGAAAAGUCUUGCGUAUUACAGACUAAAGAAACGGAAUAUACCUUAUGCAUGCGAGUUCUGUUUAGUGUUUCCCUCAACGAGUUUUCCAUCUGAUUAAGGUGUUCAAUAUCUUCAAUUUUGUCGGGAUUCGCCCACCAGCUUAAAUAAUAAAAAAAAAUAAAAAUGUCAGUUGAAGCUUAUAACUAAAUCACUAUGUAAAUCGUUGGUUAAAGUUCUGUAAAAUUUUCAAGAUUUGCACCUUAUUCGUUUAUGUAAUUCAGCAAGUUGGCUUUGCAGCAUCCUUAAUCGGUUUUGCAUUUCCUAUCCAAAAAACGAUUACCAAGAAAAAAAAUUUAAAAUAUUUUUUUUUUCUAACUAUCUGAAUCUCGUCUCGAAUAUCACUUCGAUGGCUAGUGAGAGAUAAAUAAAUACCUCUAUUGACGGAGUACUGCAAAAAAUAAAAAUAAAAAAAGACGAAAAGUUUAGUGAGAUAUUAUUAUUACAAUGGGAUUAAAGUAAAUAAAAAUUAUCGAACAAUCGAGUUUGUCUACCUUGUAUCAAGAAACUCCUCUAUAUCGACAUCCUGGUCAAGCUUCUUGAAGUUUCUCUUUAAAGUCUAUCAUACGUCGAUUUAUCCCAAAAAAUCAGCUUCAUUAAUUUUAUUUUCAAGAAGAUGAAAAACAUAUAUUCAAUAUUAAAAAAUAAAAACUUACUUCGAGACUCUCCAACCUCCUGUUAGAAUUUCAAAAGAAAAAAGAAAACGGGACGAAUUAAAAUAAUAUCACAAAUAACUCCGCAAAAAAUGUCGAAAUGGGAGAAUUUCUAUCUACCUUUUUGCCCGUUCUUUAGGUGUGAGUUGAGCGUAUUUUGUAAUCAUUUCAUCAAUGUUGCUAAAACCGAAAAACGAACAAAAUAUUAGCGAAAUAUUUUUUAUUUUUUAAUUAAAUUUUUUUUCAAACAUCAACGAAAUGGCAAUAUAGUUCAAAGAAAAAAUAAUCAAGAAAGAGUGGAAAUAACUAACGAUAAGUACAUUUAACGUAUCCUUUCUCAAUACUUACACUAAUAUUAUUCCGAUUUACCGUGUCGUUUAAGUCUAAUUCACUUAAAACUAUAAAAAUUUCUACCACUCGAAAAAUAUUCCAAUGUUUCGAGCACUUAACUUAAAUUAACCGAUACAACACUUCACGAUCACUCAUAUCACUUAAAACAUAACCAAAAAAAUUCGAGUAAAAGAAUACAUUUACAAUACGAAUGUUCGACAAAUUACCUUCUUUGUCCUCGGAAAAUAGACGGCUUCCCAGUCGGAGAAAACAUAAGAAGAAUAAUAUCAAUGUCGCAUAAAACCGAAAUUUCUUGGGCUUUUUUCAAUAUUCCUGCCCUUCUUUUCCCAUAAGUAACCUGCCUGCUGCUCAGGCUCUCCAAUCUCUGUAUUUUCAACUUUACCCUUCCCAUCCUACAAAAUUACCAAAAUGCCCACUGUAAAUUAGUUUCAUUUUUCCCCUUUCUUCAUGCAUACUACACUUAAAAAUAAGGAUUCAUCUCAUUAAAGAACUGGAAAUUCAAAACCCACAAAUAAAUCAAGAAUCUUUCCUAAUUAAUCAUGCACAAUAAUUAAUUAAUUCACAACCCUAACCUUGAAGUAAUAUCCUUCAGAAAUGCCCAAAUUGGAAUACACCAUUCAGUAAUAUUUCCUGUAUUUCCAAAUUAAUUAAAAAAAAUUAAAAAAUACGAAGCGAAAAUUAAAGAAAAAUGAAAAAUACAGCCCACGGCGGAGUAUCAGACAAUCCCAUUUAGGGGAUUUCAAUGGAUUGAUUAAAAAAUUAAAAACCCUAAUUUUAAUUUUAAUUUUCUUGGUACAGAGAUAUGGAGGAAAUGCAGAUGGGGAAAAAAAGACCUAAAAAUGGGAAACCCAAAUGAGGGGAUGAACAGUAGGUAUCAUAAUUUCUGAUAUGUAAAUAGAAAGAUUAGAAAAAUAAAAAAAAAUAAUUUUGAAAAGGAGGAGGAGGAGAGAGAGAGAGAGAGAGAGAGAGAGAGAGAGAGAGAGAAGGCUAAGGAGAAGGAUUGAGGAGCAGACAAGAGGUUGUACUUUGAUUUCGGCUUUUAAAACUCGCGGGAGAACCGAACAGCUUUUUUGCUUGCAUACGUGUUGGGACUAAAUAAAUUAAGAAAUAAUAAGAAAAAAAAAAAGAAUAUUUGAUUAUAUUUUUGUGUAAAUUACAUAUAUGCCCUCUUACAUUGACUUUCAGUCAACUAGGGACAUUAUUUUUUUUUUUUCCUUUUUUUUUCAAAUAAACCCACCACUUAGAGCAUCUCCGACCGGUUUCACUAUCUUUUCACUAAAUUCCAUUUUUUGUGGUGAAAAAAUGGGUUCAUCUCCAACGGCAGCACACAAUUUUACCAGUUCACCAUUUUUGGUGACAAAUUUGUGUUUUUGGUCUCCAAUAGGUUUCACCAAAAUUUAGACUAAAUAUUAAAAUAAUAAUAUUUCACCAUUUCACCACUUAUAGAAAAUGGAAUUUGGUUCGGUCUCCCACGACAUUUCACCAUAUAUGCCCCAACCAAAAUUAUAAAUCUAAUGUUAAUCGUAAUUUUAUUAUAUUUUAUUUCAUAAAUAUUAAUUAUAGAUCCAAUGUUAAUUAACACCAAUGUAUUUACUAGGAAUGGUAAACGAGUCGAGCCGACUUGUGAGCUCGAUGAGCUGGCUCGAGAGAAACUCGAACUCGAACUCGAACUCGAAUUUUUCGAGCUCGAGCUUUAGCCACUUUUUAGUUGUUCGUGAGCUCACGAGCCGGCUCGUGAGCCUUAUUUAUUAUUAUUAUUAAUUUUUUUAUAUAUAUAUUAUUUUUUAUUUAAAUAAUGUAUAAUAAUAUAAAAUAUUAUAGAAAUAAACAAUAUAUAUAUAUAUAUAUAUAUAUAUAUAUAUAUAUAUAUAUAUAUAUAUAUAUAAUUACAAUUUAUUGUUUAUUUUUUAAUUUUUAAAUAUUUUUUUAAAAUAAUAAAAUAAUAAUUAAAAAAAAAUAUUACAAAAAAAAAAAAACUACAAAAAUGAGCUUAGGCUCAAGCUCGAGCUCGAGCGUCAAAAGAACGAACUCGACGAGCUUGAGGUCGACAAAAUAGACUCGAGCUCGAGCUCGAGCCUGCCAAAAGAGGCGAGUUCGGCUUGUGCACACCCCUAUUAUUUACGAUCAAUAUGCUAAUAUGUUGGUAAUCAAGUGAAAUUAGUUAAAAUCGUCAUUUUAUAUGCUACUUAACAAAAUGGUGUUAAUUAUACAAAAUCCUAUUUUCACUUCUAUAUUUGGUAGGAAAUAUAGGAUUAGGUGGAAAAAAUAGGAAAAUGGUGAAUCGGUGGGAGAUGAAAAUUCCUUCACCAAAAAAAUUUGUGGAAAAAUAAGAUUUGAGUAUAUGGUGAUAUGGGGGUUGACCGCGGUGGGAGGCUUAAACCAAAUCUCCAUAAUUUUAGGUGUAAUGGUGAUAUAGGAAUUUCGGGUGGGAGGCUAAAUACACUUAAAUUAGAUAAGAAAAUGGCGAUAUAGCGACCAAUCGAAGAUGCUCUUAUAUAUUCAUUACUAAUAAAUGGAACUCUAAUUUUUGUAACAAAAUUACAUAUAGUUUUUAAAUACACUCAGUUCAUAUUUUAAAAUUCUAAUUUAACCUCAAUUCAACAGUUAAAAGCCUAAAGGAUAAAACUACUAACAUUCUUUUUUUUUUUCACUUUAAUACCACCAAAAUAAAAAUUAGAUAAUUUUAUAUAUAAAAGAAAGAAACGCUGGCCAACGCUAAAAAAACCUAAUGGUAUUUUUGUAAUUAUUUAUUUUUAAUAUUUUUUUCUCUACUAUUUUCUAACUAUAAUUUUUAGCAAUUAUCAAAUUAAAACCAACCCGUGAAGAAUCCUACCCUCAUGGUACUUUUGUAAUUAUUUAUUUUUAAUAUUUUUUCUCUACUAAUUUUUAACUAUAGUUUUCAACAAUUAUUGAUCUCCUAUUUUUUUUUAUCAAUAUAUCUCCGAUCUUAAACGAUAAGGAUAGAAAUUCCAUUUGUUAAAUGUUAAUCUAUAUUUGGAUUAUAAAUCUUAAUAUGUAAGAUUUAAAAAAACUAAUGUUAUGUAAAAUAUGAAUCACACUUUAUUAUUAAAUUUUACUAUAUUAGUGUACUAUAUUUUCUUAGAGCAACUCCAAUGAGGUUAUCAAACAUGGUAUUCAAAUCUUUAAUCGUCAUUCACACAGUAAAAAAUAGAAGUUUUUAACUCCAAUAGGGUUAUCAAAUGAGUGUUCUAUUUUGAUAAUUGACCUCUUGGGUUGUGUUGAGUGUAUAUUUUACACUCAAUGUAUACUUUGUUACGAGAAUUUUUGUAUACUUUUAUUGAUUUAAUGGUGCUUAAGGAGUGGUUUAUUGUAUUUUAGGUACAACUUGACGAUUUGGGAGUUCCGAGGAUGAAAACGAGCCAAGAAAGGUCAAAAAGGGGCAAAAACGGAAGAAAACAAUCGGAUUCUGAAAAUUGGCCUAGCGCGGCCGUACCAGAUUUAGCCUAUUUUUGGCGCGGCCGUGUGAAAACACGCUGGAAGUAAUUUUGGACUUUUAAUCACACAAGGAAGCCUAAAUCUUCUACCAAGUUGAGACAUCUAUAAAAGGACAAAUACCAAGCACGAAUCAAAAGACUUUUUACACAAUCUUGGAGGAAGAGGAGCGAGAGAACGGUGAAUCGAAGACGGAGAAUUGACAAAUCUUCAUCAGGAUUCUUCUUUCAUCUAUCUUUUCUUAAUCUACUUCUUUUUAUAUUUUUAUGAUUUUUUUCUUAAACAUGAGUAGCUAAACUUUUAAUCUAGGAUUUUGUUGGAACCCUAUGUGGUGAUUCGAACCUAUUUUUCUAAUAUUAUGCAAGUUUAAAUUUCAUGAUUAUUUCUUCUAUUUGAUCUUAUUUAGCGCAUGAACCUGUCUAAUUUAUGUUGUUAUAUGUUAUUGUUAGAAUUGAUUGACAUAUCGUUUUAAUAAUUAUAACAGGGAUAGAAGAACCUUCGAGUAGUUUUCACAGGAUGAGUGUGUUAAUUGCAUGUAUUAUCGUAGACAUAUAGAUAAUACCUUAGGUAGCCGUUUACGAGACUUGUUAUUUAAUGCUUUAUUCAUAAUUGGUUUGCAUAGACAUAUAGUGAAUCGGUUAUAAAUAGCAGACUCAUAAUACACGCGACAGCGGGUUAUGAGUAAUUUAGUGUAUCGGGUUAAUAAUUAGGAAUCGUAACUUGCAUGAUAUAUAGAGGUCUAAUUGGGUGAUGAAUUAUCGCAUAGGGGAAGAUAAAAUCCUAGAUCCGUUUUUAUAUUGAUAUUUUCUCGUAUUUAUUUGCUUUCAUAAUUAGUUUAGUUAUUUAGUUGGUUAAAUUUGACAACCUUGCGUAGGCUGGAUAAAAAUCAUAAUUGUUAGAAUUUGGUACUUAGGAUUAGAUGAUUUGAGUAUUCCCUGUGGGAUCGACAUCCGACUCUCACGAGUCCACUUUUACUACUUGUUUGCGAUACGUGCACUUGCGUGUUAGGUAUUUAGCCCAACAAGUUUUUGGCGCCGUUGUCGGGGAAUACGGCUAAAUUAUGUAUUUAUUCUAAUAUCAAAUUUGAGCAAUUUUUCUUACUCCAGCCAUUUAAUUUUUAUUUUUAUUUAUUUAUUUAUUUUUUUUUUUGUUUUUUUUUUGUUACAUGUCUGGUUACAAUGUUCAGGCACCUCAAACGGAAUAUGAAUGACUUCCAUGUGACGAAUAGCUCCAAAACACCUAUGAUAUGCCUCCAUUUUGUUCAGCAUGUGGUGGAAAUCAUUAUUCCGAUCAAUGUUGGGGAUCACCAAAAGCGACAAAUUUCGUCGAAAUUACCAACAGAGAUUAUUGGAACACUCACACCAACACAUAUGAGCAAAGCUUUCAAGACCAAGAUUUGAACGAGUUUCAACAUAGAGAGCCAUAAUUUUCUUUUCCAAAUUAUUAUCCAUCGCAGCAACAAACCACUAAUGAACAACUUGAUUUGGUAUCUCCCAUUUCCGAAUUCAUGAAGUCCACUCUAACAUCAUUUCGAAACAUGGAGAUACAACUGGAAGAGAUGACGCUCAAAUUAAAAUCUGAGUCUCUUGAAAAUAUUCCAGACGAAAUCGGCAAUGGUCAUAUCAAAGAAAAUUCGGGUGAAGCCUACGAUGAGAAAAAUCUUCUAUGUUCAUAAAAUAGUGUCGAUAUGAGAGAAAUAGAAAUUACGAAGACACUUGAGCAUGAUGAAUCUGAGAAUGCAAUCGAGCUAAACCCCAAAGAUGCCUCAGAACAAGAGAAGAAGGAGAUGGAUGUAAUGAUUGAAGAUAUUCUAGUUGUGGACCGUAUCGUAGAUCUAAAUGUGGAUUUGAAGGCAUCAAUAGUGGUUGAUGAGAAGGCUAAUGUGUUUGAGGUGGAGGUUAUACGCAUACUGGAGAUUUUUGUAUACCGAUUUGAGGAAGCGGAUGACGAACAUCCUACCUUGGUAUUGUACCGAUUGCUUACUAACAAAUAAGGGUGCCAACUAAGGUGGAUGUGGACACUCCCAUAUUGCAACCCUGUCCAUGCAUUGGUUGAAAGAGAUGUAGUAAAGCAAAUUAAUGGAUGUGCAAUCUACAAGGCUUUGGAUUGGACAUAGCAGUUUUAAGAAACAAAGUCUGGCUGAAGACUUAAAACUUAGCGCUUCUCGGGAGGCAACCCGAGCAUUUAUCGAUUUUCGUAUUUUUCUUUGCUUUUAUUUUUCUUAGGAUUUUAGCAUGCGCAAACUAAUAAUUUAAUCUUGUUUUAAUUUUCAGGUCGAAAAUCAAAUACUAAGGGUAUCAGACGUUAAAGGUGGAGCAAACGAACAUCAAAGAGUGCAUCCCAGAGAAGGACCUUUCGACUAAUCAGGUGUAUUCUAUCCUUGAACCUUGUUUUAAUUACAUUGAGGGCAAUGUAAAUUUUAAUUUUGAGGGUGGAUAAUUACUUGCUUUUAUGUGCUUUAACUUUUUAGUUUGCAUGCCGUAGGAUUUUUUUUUUUAGUUUAGUUAUUUUAGUUUAUUUAUUGCUUUCGGAAAAAAAAUAUAUAUUGAGAUAAAUGCUUCGAUGAAUCAUGAUGAUGAAAGAUGGUUGAUGUUUAAUGAUGAAAUUGCUUGAUUUAUCUUGAUUGUGACCGAAUUUUGGUGAGCUUUCGAUUCAAAGUGUUGUAGGAAGGAGUCAUUGUUAGGAAUCAUGAAUUAUGCCUUGCUUUGGUUGAAAGUUUUGUGUUUUAAAAAGUGGAAUUAAUUUAUGCUAUAUCAUAUGCUAUUCGGGUUUAGAACUUGCCUUAGGAAUUUACAAAGUGAAAUAUUAAAUUGUUGAGCAAUUUGGGAAGUGAUUUGGUCCAUCUUUGAACCGUUUGAGCCUUUCAAGCCUAUCUUUAAAUUUUUAUCAUUCGAACCUUGAUUGAGCCUUGGAGAAACGGUGUUCUUUCUUUUAGCCGAACUAGCAAUGUGCAUGUGCGUUGCACGUGUCGUAAUAUUAUUAUAUGGUGAAAAUAAUUUUUCUGUAUCCAUAUUAGAUUACAAUAUGCCUUUUAUAAAAUAUGAGUCAAUUGGUUUUAGACCAAAAACAUAUUGCUACUUCUGUAAAUAUUGGAGAAAUGUAAACUACAUCAAAUCAAACUUUAAUGCCUCUCUUAUCUUUUUUGUAUUGCAUAUACAUUGAAAUUCAGGUGAAUCCUAGGAAAACAUAUUUUUCGAGAUUUAUGAUCAAAUUUGCAGUCAAUUACGAGAUUUUGUUUAGUAUUGCUAUUGUAAUAUGGUAGUUGUUAAUUUAAUGAUGUCUAUGUGAAAUCAUUGAAAACUAAUACAUCUCUUAUAACUCUCUGGUGUGACAUCAAAUGUACUCAUGAUAACCAAAAUGCAUCAUCCAAUUGUAAUGUUCCUCAUGGCACACCUAGUCCUUAUACAACAGACUCUGCUUAUUAUGGAUUACCCGCUCUUUAACCAAUUCCAUUUUUUUUCUUAUUGAACAAUGAAACACACAUCAGAAAAAUAAACAAAAAAACUCAGAAGCUUGUGCAUUAACAUAAUUUUCAGCUAGCAAUGAGCAUGAAUGUAAAUUAUGUUCCAAACAUACUCUACACAAAUUUAAUUGGUCAAUAUGCUUCACAGUAGUGUAAAGAGAAGGUUAGGUUCGUGCAACCCUUACAAAGAGUAUCACUCCACAUGAACGCGAGUCUAGAGUAGCUCUAUAAUGGUCUCGAUCGUUUAAGAGUUAGAGGAUUUAGAUAAAUUCGAAACAUAAAAGAAGAGAGGUUCUCAUAAACAAAAAAGAGACUUGCAUAUUUUAAUAACAUACUUCAUAGCAUUUUGACUUUGACAUACUAUGUACCAGGCCAUCAUCCUGUCAAAGUAAUGACAUAAUAAUAUCACAAAGUGAAACUAUGUCUAAUUAUAAAGAAGAAAUAAUUCAUGGAAGAACUUUAAAUAUUUUCCAUAAGUUUGCAUACAAUGAUAUCUUUGAUAUGUCACAAAGAUUGAAAGAUAUAUCUCAAGUGAACUUGUAUCUCAAGGGUUGUAAAAUGUGCCUUCUUUCUUCUAGAGCAUUGAGUUGAUUGUCUAUUUGAAUGCAUUCUAAAAGAGCGUAUCAAGAGCAUAAUCUUGACUUGUAUACAGUAAAACCUGCUACAAUUCUAAAUAAAACAAUGAAAUAUAUUAACGAAACUAAAACAGUUUGUCUUCAGCCAUUGGUAUGUCAUGAAAUAUCAAAACAAAGAACGGACUACAUGUACAACCAUUUCUUCACUUAGCUUCCUUAAACUAUCUAUUUAGUAAAACCAUUCGAGAAUACAAGAUUGAGCUGAAAUUUAUGCCUAUGCAUUUUGAGUGGCUUCAUUUUUCCCUUCAACUAUCAGUUUCAUCAUCAUGUGACUCCACCAUGGAUUGGAGAAUCCAUUUGUUGUUGACUCCACCUGUACGGUUGUACCUCCCCUGCCUGCUAUGUCUAAGAAAUGUGAUGUACAUCCAACAUCCUUAUCUUGUAGUUUUGACGGAUUACAUCGACUUGCUAUAAAGGGGAAAAAAAAACCAAAUAGAACUAUUGAAUGACCACCUCAACCAAAAACUUAAGCUAUUAUUAUUUAAUACUAAUAUCUCCAAUUCGCCCCCUAAAGUUCAAGCAAAUUACAUUUGAAGUCUUGCACUUGAAAUAUUUGAAAUGGAUGGCGGUAGGAUUCGAACUCAUGACCUUUCAUUUGGUCUGACUCUGAUACCAUGUUGAAUGACUACCUCAACCGAAAGCUUAAGCUAUUAGUGAAGUGUAUCAUUUGUCACUAAUAUUUCCAAUAAUAACAGUGAUAAAGCAUAUAAAGUAUACUGGCAUAAUUCACUCUAGUAUCUCCUUGAAUGGCUCGUAGAUUUUCUAUAAUAAUAUCUCCCAGAAACUCACCUGAAUAGUAACAGGAACCAGAUCGAAGAUUUGUGUUAAAGAAAUUUAAUAUCUAAUAACAUUAAUUUUUUUUACGAGAGCACGACAACGAAUACAAGUGUUUUAUAUAAGAUGGGAGGUAUUGUCUGCAGGAAGGAGAAGGAGACUGAUGAUUCAAUCAGAGCCUAAAACUUAACUCAUGAUUUUUAAUUUGGAGUAACAAAAAACUUACUAAAUUGAAAAGGAAACUAUCUAUAGCCAUUGGACCCUAAUAUUUACAGAGAAAAAAAUAUGAAUUGAAAAAUAUAAGAAGUUCAUGAAAAAAUAAAAUCACUAAAAAUUCAAAUAAUAUAGAAGAUAAAACAAACAACGGGCAUUAAAAUUUUCGCCAUCAAAAUAAAAAUCACGGAAACAAUUUUAUAUAAAUAAAUUACAUGAGAAAUAACUUUUAAUUCCAUGUUAUAUUUGUCUACCAUUAGACAAUAUAAAACCAUCUGUGAAGUGCAUAAAACUUAGGGUAAAUUCCACUUCCCCCCUUCUACUUUGGUUGAAUAUGAUUUUACUUGAACAAUUGUCUCAAUAUGGCUCUUGCCGUUAGUUUUCAGACACUUUGACACUUAACACCAUUUGAUCUAAGUCUGNNNNNNNNNNNNNNNNNNNNNNNNNNNNNNNNNNNNNNNNNNNNNNNNNNNNNNNNNNNNNNNNNNNNNNNNNNNNNNNNNNNNNNNNNNNNNNNNNNNNCAAUAUAAUCAUCUAAUGCAAAACUACCAAUAGCAAUUUAAACCCCUGUUUAACAGAUUAUUUCCUAUAUAUCCACUCAUAAUUCAUAACAUUAACAAAGAUAAUAACAUGGCAGUUCAAUCCUAUUAAAUAAACGGGAUGUGGAAUACCAAGAGCCACGUAAAUCAAAAAUUAAAUUAUGGUUUCUAGAAAAUGUAUAGCUUUGUCUUGUUGAAGAAAGACUAACAACUUUGAUGAGAUUGGAUCACUGGCUAAACCCAAAGUCAUGCAACAUGACCUUUGGAUUAAGCAAAUAAAGCAGCUGCAUUAUCAUAACAUUUUCUUUCUUUUGUUAUGAGUCCCUGAUAAUGUACAUACGUGAAUUUGAGAUGACAAGAAGAAGCCAAUUGAAAUAGAAAGUACUUACAAACUUCACGUAUAACAUUCUUAGUCACAAACUAUAUUACAAUGAAUCUUACCUGCCAAUACAUAAAUACAGAAUUGAACGGAAAAAUAAAAUGUAAUUGCAAGUAAAUUUAGUAGAUAAAAGUUAAAUCAAUAAUCCCAAUGCAUAGACCAUUAAUUAUGAAACUGACACGUGUUUUGAAUUACCUGAGUAGAAAUAAUUUUAAAUCAAUAAUCCCCAUGUGAAUCAAUAAUCCCCAUGCAUAUAACUCAUGCAUGUUUCAUUAGGUUAAUUAAUUCAAAUGAAUAAAAAAAUUUAACUUAGUACAUAGAAGUGCGAAAAAUAUGCAAAAUAACUUACAAACUUUAUUAACAGAGGUUCAAUCCGAUCUUGAUAUGGAGGAUUUAUUCCUUCAUUAAUCUAGAAAAUUUUAUCAAUUUCUCAAUAUUUAGGGUUCAAACUAUUAAACAUAUAACUAAAACCAAAAAAAAAAAAAAAAAGAAGAAGAAGAAGAAGAAGACGAAAAAGAAAUCGAGAAGACCAAAAAAAGAUGAAUGAGAACUUGAAACUCGAAGUUACGAUUAUUUAUUUCUUUCUUUGGUUUAACUUAUGCAAAAUUGAAAUUCAUAUUGACUUAUCGAGACCAUUGAGUUUCUUUGAAUUUCUUAUAUGACUAACAGUUAAUAGAUACAUGAGUUCAUCUUUUCAGAUGCCUUUAUACAUUGAACUCUAAAAAUAUCAAUUAUUUUCAUAAACAUACAUUAAAUGACUAAUUAUAAAUUAAUAUUAAUUAUUUUAAUUUUGAUAGGGACAUUUUGGUCAUCACAAAAAAGGGAAGAAACCUCCCUUAAUAUUCCCACUUUUAUAAGUAAAAUAGAAUAAAGUGGGUAGAUUAGAUGGUGAUUUCUUGAUAAUUAUCCCUUGGAGCUUGGUUGAAAAAAAAAUUAAAAAAAAAAGAGAGAAAAAAAAUAAAAAAGAAGAAGAAGAAGAAACAUAGAAGGGGAAGAAAGGACUUGAGAAAGAUUUUAAAGUAACAACUCGAACCAUCAUGUUAAGAGCAAAAGUGAAGACUUUUGAACUCUUAACAAAUUGAGUUAAGUAAUAAGUCCUUCGAGGUGAAGCAAUAAUUCCAAAAGCUAAAUCUUAGCGAAAAAACCUCGAGUCAAGAACGAGAGCUAAAAAUUCCGUCAAGUGCAACUCUUAGUAACCAAUUGUGAGAUGAAAGGAGAAGAGUAGCCACAUUUACCCAUACUUUCUACCUUGUACCAAAGCCCAACAUUUGAAAUCCAAAACGUCCCAAUGAUCCCAAUAGCUCAAGUAUUUGUUACUAGCCGAGUAAAGAAAUUUGGUGAGUCUUUGGAGUUGAAUAUUAUUAUGUAAGUAUAAAUUUUCUCCAUUUUUAAUUUACAGAUAUGAGAUACUUGAAGCGAUAGCAUGGUUUGUGGUUUUUGGCAAGGGUGAGUGAAUACGUAUCUUUGAAUUACGAGCUUAUAAAUUUUUUAGAAUUGUCAUGAUAAUUGCUAGUUCUGAAAACGUGAAGAUUGACCAUUAAUCUAUGUGAUGAGGGGCAUUUGUUGACAGUGUUGCUUUGAAAGUUGCUAGUUUUUGCUUGAGGACAAGCAAAAGUUCAAGUUUGGGGGUGUGUUGAGUGUAUAUAUUUUACACUCAAUGUAUACAUUGUUACGAGGAUUUUUGUAUAUUUUUAUUGAUUUAAUGGUGCUUAAGGAGUGGUUUAUUAUAAUUUAGGUACAACUUGAUGAUUUGGGAGUUCCAUAGAUGAAAACGAGCCAAAAAAGUCAAAAACGGGCAAAAAUGGAAGAAAAUAAUCGGAUGCUGAAAAUUGGUCUGGCGCGGCCGUGCCAGAUUUAGCCUAUUUUUUGCGCAGCCGUGCCAACUGCAAAAUUUGGGCAGAAAGUUUCGGCGAUUCUCGCGCGGCCGUGUGAGAAUUGCAUUGAUUAUCACGCGGCCGUGUGAAAACACGCUGGAAGUAAUUUUGGACUUUUAAUCACACAAGGAAGCCUAAAUCUUCUACCAAGUAGAGACAUCUAUAAAAGGGCAAAUACCAAGCACGAAUCAAAGGACUUUUUAUACAAUCUUAGAGGAAGAGGAGUGUUAGGUAUUUAGAAAGAAGAGGAGAAGAGGACUUUUUACUCAUAACCCGCUGUCGCGUGUAUUAUAAGUCUAUUAUUCAUAAACGAUUCACUAUAUGUCUAUGCAAACCUAGUACGAAUAAAACAUUAAAUAACAAGUCUCGUAAACGGCUACCUAAGGUAUUAUCUGUAUGUCUACGAUAAUACAUGCAAUUAACACACUCAUCCGGUGAAAACUACUCGAAGGCUCUUCUAUCCAUGUUCUAAUUAUUAAAACGAUCUGUCGAUUCAAUCCUAACAAUAACACAUAGCAACAUAAAUUAGCUACGUUCAUGCGCCAAAUAAGAUCAAAAUAGAAGAAAUAAUCGAAGAAUUUAAACUUGCAUAAUAGUAGAAAAAAGUGGGCCAAAAGUAAAUUCUUCGAUUUGUACCUAAAAUACAAAUAAUAACCAUUUGAAGCACCAAUUAUCGUUAAAACCAAUGUUAUCAGAACCGGACCGGACAUUAAACCCGUGAGGCAUUCGGGUCAUGGUUGGACCGGUUCAACCGGAGUCAACCCGGGUUUUUUAUUUUUUUAUAUAUUCUAUUUAUUUUUUAAUUUUAUAUACACAUAAUUACAUCCAAAUAAAAAUUUAAAACAUUAAACAACAUAUGAAAAACUUCACUUCAAUCCAAAAAAAUAUCCAUAAUAAUAAUGUAUCUCAUCAAAAUCAUCCUCAUCACAUAAUUAAAAUUUAAAAUAUAAAACUAAAACAUAUAAAUAGUUAAUGUCUUUUGCAUUAAAAUUAUUUCUUGUACAAUAGAUAUGGUAUUAGAAAAUAACAUAAUUUGAUAUAUACGAUAUUAAAUGGUGAAAAAACUACAAGUGUAAAUAGAAAUUUUAAAUUCACAUCUAAACAAAAAUUUUUUGAAGAAUUGAAAUCUAAACAAAAUUAUUAUCACAUGAUUAAACAAAAGAAUUUAAAAAUUGCACGAUUCAUCCACACGAAAGAGGGUACCGGCAGGUUGCGGGGGCGGCGGUGGCUGGCGGCGGCCGGCGGUGGCUAGUGGUUUGCGGCGGUGGCUGGCGGAUUGGGAGGCGGUGGCUGGGUGCGGGAAUAGUGAAGGCAGAAGAUGUACAGACUUGUCAAACAAGUCUGUUGAGUGUUGACGUUUAACGUGUUUUUUAAUUCAAUUUUUUUUUUAAACCUAAUAAUCAAAACAACGUCGUUUUGAUAAAGUAUUAAAUUUUUUUUUUUAAACCUAAUAAUCAAAACGACGUCGUUUUGAUAAAGUAUUAAAAAAAAUAUAUAAAACGCAACGUUUAGGAAUCGAACCCGGGUCAGCGGCCGGUUCGCCGGGUCCCGGGUUCCACCCGGUCAGACCAGGUUUCUGGUAGUUGACCCCGUUUUUGAAUUUAUGUGGGUUUGGGGGUUAGACCGGACCGGUUUUCCGGCGGGUCGCGGUCGAACCGGUCGGACCGGCCGGUCCGGUCCGGUUCUAAUAACAUUGGUUAAAACACACCAAAAGCUCCAAUUAAAAGGUACAAUUAAGUGUAAAAAUAUACACUUAACAAGGAGCGAGGGAACGGAGAAUUGACUAAAUUCAAGUCCAGUUAGUAUAUAUAUUUCUACUCGCUUGUUUUAAAGUUAAAAAUAUAAUUACAAUAAUCAAAUGACUCGUGCAACGCACAGGGGCAUGGUUACUGCUUAAAAUAACAAAAGAUGCUUUGGACAAUUCAAUACAACGCAUAAAUGGUGUCUGAAUAUAAGAGCUAAUAGCACACAUCCCCUGUGUUAUUUCUAAUUGGCAGAAAAGUCCCUAUGAUAAAACAAUUACCAAGAAACCCCCUAUGUUGUGUUAAAUAUAUCACACAACCCCUUAAUUCAGAUUUUACAGUUGACUUAAAGAAAAUGACAAAAAUACCCUUACCAAAGGGAAAGGGGAAGAGAGAAAAAGAAAAAAAAAAUUAAAAAAUUAUGAAAUGUGAUGACUGAUGAAAAGCAAGCAACAAACCUUCAACAAACCAUCUUCUGUGAUUUGGCUGCUCCAUUAACUGUGAGUUUUCAAGCUUCCAAAAUCAUGAAACAUCUCUUUCUCUAUUCUCUCAAGAAAGUCCACAAAGUGAAUUUAAGCUAUCAGUUGGUGACUAGACUCAAAAUAAAGGUUGAAAGCAUCGUCCAACAUCGCCGCCGACCGCCUUUCGCCACCGGCUUUCCGUCAUCAUCAAACCACCAUCAAAAUCCCAUCACCUCACCUUCCCUCCGUUCGUUGAAACAAGAACCAAUCAACUAAUUAAAGAUAGUUCAUUUAUUUUGUUUUAUUUUUGUAUUCAAAUCGAAUGUCAACCUAAAACAUGGAAAUGGAUUGUGAACUCCCAAAACAAUAAAAUUAUGUUGUUCUAAUCGAAUUAAGUUAUAUCUGGGGAAGGUGUUGUAUUUUGUUUAUGGAAUCGUGGGGUUUGUGGGUGGCUUGAAGAAUGGAGAAGGGCUGGUGUAAUCGACGGAGAUGGAGUAGUCGAGCUUCUACCUGUACCAAAAGGUCUCAGCAGCUCCCUCCAGAAAUUGGGCUCCGGCUUCUCCUCCUCCAAUUAGUGCGUGAACAUGGUGGUGGAUUCGAAACAAUUGGGGAUGAGCUGAUUUGGAGAGAUGGUGUUUUUGAAAUUGUCAGGGACUGAAUCGAAAAUUAUGAAAAUUUCAUUUUGGUUCAUACAAAUUUCUGGAUGAAUAUGUAAUUUUUGAAAAAAUGAUUAAAAGGGUAUUUAUGUAUUUUCAGGUCAAAAAACACACCGCCAAUCGCUCAACCCACGCGUGCAGCACACGAAAAGCUUUCAGGGGGGUUUUUGGCUUUGACUAUCUUUUAUAGGGGGGUAUUUGCUAAUUAUUUUAACACAGGGACUUUUAAGACAAUUAGAGUUUACACAAGGUUAGUUUUUGCAAAAAACCCAUAUAAUAACCUAGACAAUCAUAUAUAUAUUGAAUCUUUAAAAUAUUGUUUUCUUUCAAAUUAUCUGCUCCAUCUAGCUACUCACCACAUCUCACAUGCAUGAAUCCUUCAAUAUGUUAUUAGUGAUAUUAAUUUAUUACAAGUUGGCUAUAAAUUAUGGAAUUAAAUAUUAUUUACAUCCCAUUAUUAAUCAAAUCUUGAGUCCUUUAAUUCAUCUCAUCUUCUCCCCACAAAUUAAAGAAGCUCAGACAACACAAAAAUUUCAAUGGAAACCGUAACGAAUAAGUAUGUUGUAACAACGAGCAAUAUCGAUGGAGCCCCGAACGAAUCAAACUUCGCGAUUUGCGAACAAGUUGUUUCCUUGAAAGUACUACGACAGCCGGCUGGUGAGGGUUCCGACAUCGUUGUCGUUGUGAAAAAUAUGUACGUGUCGAUCGAUCCGUACCAGAUAAACCGAAUGAAGAGUUACAGUUGUUCGCAGGGAACUGUUUCUGCAGCAGCUGCUCUUCUUCCUGGACAGGUUAUCAUUCUUAUAAUAUAUAAGCAAUUCUUAAUGUUUAAUUUGUUUCACUGUUUUUUUUUUUUCUUUGAUAAAUAUGUUUUCUAAUUCUGUAAAUAAUUUUCAAAUUUAAACAAGUUUGUUAAGAUAAAAUAUUUUAUUUUAAAAAUAAGUUUGGCUUGGGUUUGAUUUUAUUUUAAUACACUCGGGAUUAACAAAUUCUAUUAAUUUAGCGAAAUGUUAAAUUAUCGAACUAAUAAUUUACUAUGUUAUUACCGAGUCGAGGCCAGAAAAAAUUAUUAUUCAAGGAAGGUUAUUAAUUUAUCGAGGUUAUAUUGUAUCAUUUUGUACAAAUUAUUUUGAGUUACACCCUAAUUGAAAUAAAUGUGCAAAUAUUAGUAAUUAUAUUAGGGUAAAUUACACCCACACCCCUGAGGUAUGCUUAAAUAACUUUAAGGUCCAUGUGGUAUCGAUAAUUACUGUCACCCCCUUGAAACGUAGUUAUAAACUCUAAUGGGAUAAUGCAUUGGAUACGUUAUCACGAUAGAGUUCUAACGGACUAUUGGUUUCAGGAAGUGGUGGAGACAACAAAGAGUUAUGGAUGAUUUAAGAAAUAUUGGGGGAGCCAUGUCACAUCAUAACUCCCCAUAACUCUAUGUUAUCUCCACCACUAGCUAAAAUUAAUAGUCCAUUAGAACCCUAUCGGAAUAACGUAUCCAAUGCAUUAUCUCGUUAGAGUUUCUAACUACGUUUCAGGGGGGUGAGUGUAAUUAUCGAUACCAUAGGGACCUUAAAAUUAUUUAAGCAUACCUCAGGGGUGUGAGUGUAAUUUACCCAUUAUAUUAAGAUAAAAAUUGUUACAGGCAAUUAAUGCAAGUGGGGUUGGGAGAGUGGUGGGUUCUACACAUCCAGAAUUUAAAGAAGGGGAUCUUGUUUCGGGAGCCCUAAUAUGGGGGGAAUAUACCCUUGUCAAAGGCAUUUCUUUACAGUGGUUGCAGAAAUUGGAUACAAAUCUCUCAUUUCCACUCUCUUAUUUUGCUGGAGGAGUUCUAGGUAUUAUUAUUAAUUAUACUUUAAUCAUCAUAUAAAUUCAUUUAUAAUUUUGUCAUUUUUUAAGGGCAAAUUGCACGUCCCCCUCUAUAAAUUUCUAAUGUUUUGCACUUUACCCUCUCAAAAUUUGGAAAUGCGAAUUUCGCCCUUCAGAAUGUUAUUCUUAUUGCACAUUGUUUCGAUGGAUUGUUCACUGAAGUUGAGUGAAUAUGUUGCACGUUGCCCCUUUUAAAUGUUAUUUUUGUUGUACCUUGGCCCCCCAAAAAACAUUAUUUUUCUGCAAAUUGUCCCUGUUAAAAAUGUUGUUUUUGUUGCACAAUGCUCAACGAAAAUUAGCUUUUGGGGCAAAGUUCAACAAAAAUAAUAUUUUGAUGGGGGUUAUUCCAUUAUUUUAUUUUUUAGGGGGGAAUGUGCGAAAAUGGAAAAUUUAUAGGGAGAAGAGUGCUUUUUUUUUUUUUUUUUUCUUUCUUUGUGAGAUUAUUACUAUUAACUUAACCAAUAUUCAAAAUUUACAAAUCCCCGCCCGUGUUUCGACCAAUGGGUGAUAGUGAGAUUCGAAUUCACGAUCACUGGUUCUUAUUUCGUUAAUACUUUAAAGAUUUAUUUAAAAUUAAUAUUUACUUUUUCUUUUUAUUAAUUAGCAAGUGUCUUAUAAGAUGUUGUAGGAGGUCACAACGUUUCCAAAUUCGAUCAGCCACCUUCGUAAAUUAUAGGGAAAAUUACGGCCACACCCUAAAGUAUGACCAAAAUAUGAAAACCCCUCUUGUUUGGAUAAUUAUUGUCACCCUCUUCUUUAAAUAUUUUUACAUAAAAUUUAUGUAAUUCGGUUAUUUUCCGAAUCAAAUUGUAUAUUUCGUUCGGUAAACAGUAUGAAAUGUCGGCGUACCGAAAAUUUCGAUUCGAUUUUACCGAAUUAACAUCCCUAAAUUUACCUCUGGAGGGGUAUUUUCGUAAGAUAAUACAUAGUUGAUGGGGUGACUGUAAUUACCCACACAUGAGGUGGUUUUUCAUAAUUUAACCAUAAAUCAUGGGUGGCCGUAAUUUGCCCUGAAUUCUAUACUGAUGGAAAAUUUAUUAAUUUGCAAUAAAAUAAAAACUUACAUACUCAAACUUGUUUUGAGUAAAUUAUGGUUUUAUUCUUAAAUAUAUCAAUAAAUAUUGUAGGAAGCAGCGGGCUUACAGCAUAUGGAGGGUUUUUCAAAGUGUGCAAGCCUAAAAAGGGAGAUAAAGUGUUCGUUUUUGCUGCUUCCGGUUCGGUCGGGAGUUUAGUCGGACAAUACGCCAAGUUGUUUGGUUGUUACGUCGUUGGAUGCGCAGGAACUAAACAAAAGGUGCAUUUUUGACGUCGUUGUUUUAUUUUAAUUAACUAAUAUAAUCAUAUAUAUACUACUAGCUAGACAUGACCAACGGUCGGUCCGAUUUUGGUUCAAACUGGCGGUUCUGGUUCCAUAAUAUGAAUUAACUGAAACCGGACCGCUAUUUACUGUUCGUAGACGGUUCUCACACCCCCGGUUCCAGUUUUGAUUUUGUAAAGUGGGUUUUCUUGUUUUUUUUUUUCUUUCUCUCUUUCCCACUAUUUUCAAGGAUAAAUUUGUAAUUAUUAAACUAAUAUUUAGCCUAUUUCAGUUAUUUUGUUACUAAAAAAUUGAUUCCCCCCCCCCCCCCCCGCCCCCCUCCUCAUUUUCCUUAAUUUCUUGUACAAUUUAUUUUGUUCAUAACAAUAAAAAUGGUAAAUGUCCGAUUAUUUAAAUGUUCACCCGGUCCGGUUCCGGUUAGAACCGGAACCGGACCGGUGGGCCCGGGGCCAUGUCUACUACUAGGUAUUGUACGUAAAAGAUGAAAUAAAGCUUUUCUUGGUCGAAUAUAAUGUUUUGUAGGUGGACUUACUAAAAGAUGAACUCGGGUUUGAUGAUGCAUUCAACUACAAACAAGAAACUGAUUUGAACUCAGCUCUUAAAAGGUACGUACUAACCGAUAAAACCUUAUAUUAUUGGUCGAAUUAACUACACGCAAACUCAUAAAUUAUAAUCGACAUAUGCCUAAUUAUUACAAUAGGUACUUCCCGGAGGGGAUCGACAUAUACUUUGACAACGUGGGAGGCGAAAUGCUCGAAGCGGCAAUCAAUAACAUGAACGUUUUCGGUAGAGUAUCCCUUUGUGGAGUUAUAUCCGAAUAUACGGACGAUAGUAAAAGAGCCAAACCCGACAUGGUAGCGGUGGUCUACAAAAGAAUUAAAAUAGAGGGUUUUCUGUCUGUCGACUUUAUGGAUAUAUACCAAGAAUACAUUUCCACAACUAUAAUAUAUCUUCAGACGGGCGAAUUGAAGGCCGUCGAAGAUAUCUCGGACGGUCUAGAUAGCAUUCCGACUGCCUUUGUCGAUCUUUUCCGUGGCAAUAACGUCGGAAAAAAGAUUGUGAGAAUUUCUCAAGACUAGGUUUAUUUUUCAAUUUGUAUCUUCAAUACAAUGUUAUGUAUUGUUGGUUAGCUCUCGUGUAAUAAAGUUAACCCCAUUUAUGUGAUCAUUUCAUAUUCACGUGGGAAAAUAUUGAAUCCACAUUACCCAAUAUGAUCAAAAUUUUAAUUAUUUAUGUCUAUUAAAUCUUUUCUAGCAUUUGAAUUAUAAUCUUGAUUGUGAAAUGUUUUAUUGUUUUAAGAAUUUGAUUUGAGAUUGGUGAUGGUAAUAAGGAAACUGAAAAAUUAAGAAGCUCGUGAGUUAUCUUUAUAUAUAAAAGAAAAAAAUGCUAAAAAUCUUAAAGGCAUUUCUUUAUUUGUCUAUAUUUUUUUUUCUACUAACUUUCUAACCAUAUUUUUUAAUUAUUAGCAAAAUUGAAACCAAAUCGUAUGGAAUUCUUCCAAUUUCAAUCUCCUAUUUUUUAUCCAUAUAUCUCAAAUCUUGACAGAUAAUUUGUUUUUUCUCUACUAAUUUUUUGAAUUAUUGUUACUUUUUCUUUGUUAUCUCAAUGGAAUGGUUUUCCGCUUUCUUUGUUGAUAAGCGUCUUGGUAAGUAUUAAUUUUUUUUUUUAAUUUUUUUUUUAUUGAAUUGAUGGUUGCAAAAAGCUCCGUCAUGCUCAUUAUCGUUACACUUUAUAUAGUUUUAUAAGAGGGGUGAUAAAUGUCGUCCAAUUUUAUAUACCGUUUCAUCAAACGUAAUUUUGAUCAUUUUUUAUUAUGAAUUUGGUAAACUGAAAAAAUAGAAUUUGUAAUUCUUUGAGUUAGCUUUCCAAUCCAAAUUGUAUCUCCGAGAUCGAAUAUCGGGUGAGAAAUAUAUGCAUGAAUCAAUGUACACUGCCACAACUUUGAUGUUUUGAUCAGUUGUAUAAAAUUUAAUAUGUAACUUGUUUAUGCAUAACUUUGCCUUUACAUAUUCAAUCUAGCUGAUUCAAAUUAGAUUAGAACGCUAUCUCAAUGGACUACAGUUUCCGUGUUAUGAAGUUUGCCAAAAUCAAAAUAGAAAAGGGUCAAAACCAUCUGAAUUCAAUCAAGAGCUUCUAAUCUUUGUAGAGAAAUAUAAAAAUUAAAUUAGUUGAUUAAUUAGAUAUUUCAAUGGGAAGACAGAUCUUACAAAGGUCUUUAAACGUUUCAAUGCCGAUUUUGUCACACAAAGCAAGUGGUCUGGUAGAAAAAAUCGAGCGCAUAAGAUGCAUGAUUCUGCAACGUAUUUGGUUGAAAACACGGCCCUCCAGAUUUAAUUUCGUCGCAACUAUAUCUAUUACAUGCGUAGGUUAUAUAUCUUUGCAUUUUCUUGAAAGGUGUUGAUAGUUUGACAAUGCACCAUGCAUGUUUCGCCCUUAUAUUCAUGUAAAAUAAAUUUUUAACAAGGUUAAUUUGUUGAAGAAUUAAAAUAAAUUGUUAUAAAUAUAUAAAUGAAAAAUCGAAAACACAAAAUUAUGAUCAUUAAAGCUAUGACAGCUAGCAAUCCGGAUUCUUCGUAAAAAAUGGUUUUUAGUUGUUCUCCUUCUCUCUCAUUUUCCUCUCCAUAUGCUCUAAAUCUCUAUCCUCUCAUCUUCUGCAUUGUGAUUUCUACAUGUAGUUGUUGGGCGUUUGCGUCGAUUGCGGCUGUCGAAGGCAUAAAUUACAUUCGGAAUAAAAGAUUGAUCCCAUUGUCCACCCAUUAAUUGGUGGAUUGUGAUACGGGAAAUAAACAUUGCGAUGGAGGAUAUAUGCAACCGCAGCGUUUCAGUAUAUCAUGGAAAAUGGGAUCACAACCGAUAAUAAUUACUUGUACGAAGACAAAUACGGAAACUUUUGUCAAAUCGAAAAGGUAUACUUAUAUAUAUAUUUUUAGUGAUUCAAUAUUGUACGUAGUACUUAAUGUUUUUAUAAUUAACUUAUUCUUGAAUUUCUAUAUAUUGCAUAAAAAUAACCCCACGGUGCGGAUAAAACGCUACAGCCAAGUUCCUCCCUAUCGUGAAGAUUUGCUAAUGAAAAGAGUCGCUAGGCAACCGGUGACCGUAGAGAUCGAUGCAAGGAGCAUGGGCUUCUGCCAUUACUCAAAAGUAAGUUUCGUGUAUUCAUCGAUAAAUUAAAUAAUAUAUUUUUUUAAUUUAAUUUAAUUUAAUUGUUAGGGGGUGUUCGAUGGGCCCUGCGGAACAACACCAGAUCAUAUUGUUACUAUAAUUGGGUACGGAACAACCGUGAGUGGUACCGACUAUUGGCUGGUGAAGAAUAGUUGGGGCCGCAAUUGGGGAAAACGAGGCUAUAUUCGGAUGAUCCGUCGUUCAAAGGGCAGAUACGGUCGCGGGAUUUGUGGUCUUGCCAUGAGAGCAUACUGAAAAACUUUUAUUUAUUUUAUGCGGAAAAACCUUAAUCACAGAAUCUUGAAAUCAAAUUCAUCUUAAGAAUAUAAUCACGUAAUAGAGAUUAUCGACAUACCGUUCGCCAUGGAUUCCGAUAGAGAUGAUGAACGAUAGCAAUCUACAAGCCGAGCCUAGCCAGGCCUCCUUCGAAUCUCCUUGAGAACUUUAUUCGUAGCACACCUUCUUCUCUCUAUCUCUCUAAUAUCACAACUCACGAAUAUUUCUGUAAGUGAUGGAAUUCUCAAUUGUGUCUGAUGGUUGAGGAGAAGAGCUGUGGAUUUCUUUUAUAGACGAGAGAAGAGGGCCACGAUUGAUUUGUAACGGCAGAAGACAAAUCCCACCCAUCAUGGUCUUUUACUGCCUUCAACGUUACAAAUCAAUUACCAUAAAAUCACCUUAAUACCAUGAUUUGAAUUACCCACAAUUUAAUUAAUUAAAAUAAAGAUUAGUGGACCAAAAUUAAAAACGUUUUAAAACGUAAACUAACAUUCUCCCACUUGGUCCACUGAAUCGAUUAAGAAAAAUAAGUUUAAAAAAUAUUUGACUCGGUGGGUUCUUCAUACAAAACAUUUGACACGUGAUCACGAUUUUAAAAGAAAAUUAAGGUGAUUACCAUAAUAGGUAAAUAGAGUACUUUAAUACUAGAACUAGUUUGAGUUAUUAAUGUGAAUCAUAGCGGUUAUAUGAUUCAUUCAUCAUAUUCCCUUCUAUGUAUCACGCCACUAAUAACCCUUACUAUUCUAAUCCAUAAUAGCCCCUUUAAUUUUGUCUUGUUAGGACAAACCCUGUUAAAUCCAAAUAUAAUAUGUGCACACAUAAUUGGAAACAGGAAAACAGAAACAUUUCAUUAAAUAAAUUAAGUGUCAAUUACAUAAUCAUAACUCAUUAAAUCAUGGAUUGCUCAAAAGACCCAUUCUAAUAACAUGUUCCUCAUAUGUCUUUAUAGGCAAUCCCUUGGUUAAUGGAUCAGCAACCAUAAGAGUUGUACUUAAAUUUUCUAUUGACACUUGUUGUUUCUGGACUCUUUCUUUAACAACCAAGUACUUAAGAUCCAUGUGCUUGGAUCCACUUGAAUACUUUCCAUUCUUAGAGAAGAAAACGGCUGCGGUGUUAUCACAAUAUAUCUUCAAAGGCUUAGCAAUUGAGUCAACAGCCUUAAGCCCUAAGAUAAAAUUUCGCAACCACAGUGCAUGACUCGAGGCCUCAAAACAUGCUACAAACUCAGCCUCCAUUGUGGAAGAAGCAAUAAUACUUUGCUUUACGCUCUUCCAAGAGAUUGCUCCACCAGCUAGUAGAAAUACAAAGCCCGAUGUGGACUUUCUACUAUCUACACAACCAGCAAAAUCGGAGUCUGAAUAACCAAUAACCUCUAGUUGGUCCGAUCUCCUAUAAGUAAGCAUGUAAUCCUUUGUUCCUUGAAGAUACCUCAUAACCUUCUUUGCUGCUUUCCAAUGAUCUAUUCCCGGAUUACUUUGAUAUCUACCAAGUACUCCCACUGCAUAACUAAUAUCUGGUCUAGUACACGUCUGUGCAUACAUCAAACUUCCAACUGCUGAUGCAUAUGGAAUCAAUUUCAUUUUCUCCUUUUCCAAAUCAUUCUUUGGACAUUGCUUUUCACUUAAUUUAUCACCUUUCGUGAUAGGAGCAUUAAUGGCUGAACAAAACUGCAUAUUAAAUCUUUCAAGAACUCGAUUGAUAUAUUCUUUCUGAGACAAGCCUAACAAUCCUCGAGAUCGAUCUCUAAAGAUCUCUAUCCCAAUAACAUAAUUUGCCUCACCCAUAUCAACCAUCUUAAAAUUCUUGGAAAGAUAAUUCUUAGUUUCGUGAAGCAAACCAAGAUCACUACUUGCUAGUAAAAUAUCAUCCACAUACAAGACUAAAAAGAUAAACUUGCUCCCACUGACCUUUAGAUAUAUACACUGAUCAACAGUGUUUUCCUUAAAUCCAAAGGAAGUAAUGGUAUCAUUGAAUUUUAUAUACCAUUGUCUAGAAGCUUGUUUAAGUCCAUAUAUGGAUUUCUUUAAUUUACAAGCCAAGUGUUCAUUUCCUUGUUUUGCAAAUCCUUCAGGCUGGUCCAUAUAGAUAUCUUCAUCUAAAUCCCCAUUCAGAAAAGCGGUUUUCACGUCCAUUUGGUGUAACUCCAAAUCAUAAUUAGCUACAAGAGCCAUAACGAUUCUAAGAGAGUCUUUCUUAGAUACUGGAGAGAAAGUUUCUCUAUAAUCAAUGCCUUCUUUUUGAGUGAAACCUUUGGCCACUAAUCUGGCUUUAAAUCUUUCGAUAUUGCCCUUAGAGUCACGUUUGGUCUUAAAGACCCAUCUACAACCGACUUUCUUACUGUUCUUAGGCAAUUCGACAAGUUCCCAGACACCGUUAUAGUCCAUUGAUUUCAACUCUUCAUUCAUAGCAUCAAUCCAUUUAUUAGAAUCUUUACUUUUCAUGGCUUGUGAAUAUGAAACUGGAUCAUUUUGAAUACCAAUAUCAAAAUCAGAUUCUUGUAGAUACACCACAUAAUCAUCGGAUAUGGCAGACUUCCUUUCCCUUUGAGAUUUCCUCAAAGCUACCGGCUGUGGUGGUUCUACAGUAUUCCCAAUAAUAACAUCUUCAUGAAGUGGUGAAUGGAGUGGCGAAUCAUUUGUUUCAUCAACCUGCUGUAUAGGUUGAAGAGUAACGUUAUCUUGAGGGAAAUAAGAUGGUAAAAUAUCCACCCUAAUUUCCUCAAGUUCUACCUUUCUUGAUUCAAGACUCCCACUAACUUCACCAUUCUCUAAGAAUUUGGCGUUUCCAGUUUCAACUAUCCUCGUAGUAUGGUUAGGACAAUAAAAUCUGUACCCUUUUGACUUUAGUGGAUAACCAAUAAAAUAUCCAGAAAUUGUUUUAGGGUCCAAUUUCUUUUCAUUUGGAUUGUAUAUUCUAGCCUCUGCUGGACAACCCCAAACAUGUAAAUGUCUUAAACUAGGUUUCCUACCAGUCCACAACUCGUAAGGAGUUGUUGGGACUGCCUUACUGGGAACCCGGUUUAAGAUAUACAUAGCGGUUUUCAAGGCUUCAUUCCAAAAUGAAAUGGGUACAGUUGAAUUACUUAACAUACUCCUAACCAUAUCCAUGAGAGUACGAUUACGACGUUCAGCAACUCCAUUCUGCUGUGGUGUUCCAGGCAUUGUGUAUUGAGCACAAAUACCACGCUUUUCUAAGAAUUUAGCAAAUGGGCCAGGAUUUUGUCCCGACUCAUCAUAUCUACCAUAGUAUUCCCCACCCCGAUCUGAUCGUAUAACUUUAAUUUUUCUAUCUAAUUGUCUUUCGACUUCCGUAACAAACACCUCAAGCAUGUCAACGGCUUGAGAUUUUUCAUGAAUUAGAUAGAGAUAACCAUAACGAGAUAGAUCAUCAAUAAAGGUGAUAAAAUACUUUUCUCCACUAAAACAUGGAAUAGGUAGCGAGCAGAUAUCUGUAUGGAUUAACUCAAGAAGCUCUUUACUUCUUGUGGCACCCCUUUUAUUGUGUUUGGUUUGCUUACCCUUAAUGCAAUCAACACACAUUUGAAAAUCAGUAAAGUCUAGAUUUUCCAAAAUUCCAGUUUUUACCAAUCUUUCGAUUCUUUCCUUGGAGAUAUGCCCCAAUCGUUUAUGCCACAAGAUAGAAGAAUUUUCGUUAUUUAGGCUUCGCUUUACGCCAACUUCCGAAUGAGUGGUUAAUAAUGAUUGUUCAAACUCAUGAUUCAAAGAUAUUUUAUAUAAACUAUCACAUAAAAUACCGGAACCAAUUAUUAUUGAAUUAAACAUAAAACUGAGUUUUCCACAACCAAUUAAAGCUGAAUAACCACAAACAUCCAGUUUUGACAAAGAAACCAAAUUCCUAGAAAACGAAGGUACAUAAAAAGUGUUUUCAAGAUCCAUCUUGUGACCCGUCUCUAAUAUGAGGCGAUAAGUGCCAACAAACGCCACUUUAGAUUUGAGACGGUUCCCCAUAUAGAUGUACUUUUCACUUUCCUCCGGUUUCCGAGUUGUAAGGAAUCCCUGUAAUGAAUUUGUGAUAUGAGUUGUAGCACCAGAAUCAAGCCACCAAGUAUAAGAAGGAACUUCAAUAAGAUUUGAUUCAUAACAUACAAAAGAAAGAUGAAUACCUUUCUUUUCGAACCAAGUCUUUCGUUUCUCACAAUCCUUCUUUACGUGUCCCUUCUUGUUACAAAAGUAACAGGUGACAACAAAAGCCUUUCCAUGACCCUGACUACUUUCACCAAGUUCAUAUCUUUUGUUUGGUGAAAAUUUCUUUCCACUCUUCACAAAUUUCCCUUUCUUCUUCAUACUUCCAUGAGUUACAGCCAAUGCAAAGUGAUUUCCUUCUUGCUUUAAUCUCACUUCCUCUUGAAUACACAUACUAGUCAGCUCAUUCAAAUUCCACUUAUCUUUUUGAGUAUUAUAGUGGAUUUUGAAUGGGCCGAACUUUGAUGGAAGUGAGUUAAGGAUAAAUUACACAAGGAAGGACUCUUCCACUUUCAUGCCAAGAGCUCCAAGUUUGGCAGCCUUAUCAGUCAUAUUCAGGAUGUGUUCCUGAAUUCCCUUAUCACCACCAUAUUUCAUGGUAGUCAAUUCAGCCAUGAGUGUCCCUGCUAACGACUUGUCCGCUGAUUUAAAGCGUUCUUUAAUAGCCGUUAACAGUUCCAUAGCAUUGUCAACCUCGGGAAGAGAAGUCUUAAUGUUAUUAGCAACAGUCAUUCUAAUAAGCAUAAGACUAAGCCUAUUGGACUUGGUCCAGGCUUCAAUUAGGCUAACUUCUUCCUCACUGUUAGCAUCCGUUAUUUCCCCAGGUUUUUCAGUAAGCAAUGCUAGGUCCAAAUCCAUAACACCCAAGGUGAAUUGAAUUUGUUCAUACCAUUCGGAGAAAUUUGACCCACUGAGAGUCUUAAUACCAGAAGCAUGCGAGUACAAUGAAGUAGGAAUAGCAACUGAAAUAAAAUAGCAAAUAUAAUAAGGUAAAGAUAAAAGGAUGCUCACAUAAGACCUUGAGUCAAAUAAGAUGAACUAUUGAUAUCACUACAAGUUCGCCUUUGGGUGAAAUACAGCAUACCUAUUGUUCACUCUAUAUUGGUGUAAAUGAUCGUUUAUAACACCUAAGUAGGGUCUAACAUAAUUUGUCUCACUCGUCAAUUAUUCAUGUUACCUUUAGGUAAACAAUUCUAAUUGCUAAGUAAUACAAAUUAUGAUACCCUACCCAGUUCAUAAUUAAUUAAAAUCGACUAUCCUUUGAGCUAGUCUCAAUUUCUUAAUUAUGACUGCAAUUUGAGAAUAUUAUAAUCUUUAAUAUCAUGUAAAUGAUUAAACUUUCAUAUAGUUCUUAUAUUUAUUAGAUUUUACUAAUUUAGGUCACUUUAGCAACUACAAGAUUAGUAAAUUUCAUAAAUAUAAAACUAAUAAUAUUCUCUUUAUUUUAUUUGAGUGAUAUAAUCAUAACAGUAACAACAUAAAUCACAAAGGUAAUUUACUGCAUAGGAUAUUAACAUAAUGCACAUAUAUGCUUAAUAAUCUAAAUCUCAUAUACUCAGUGCACAAAACUGCAUAAAUGUGAUGUAUAAUUAUUUUAUUGGUAAGACAUGAUUAUAUCAUUAAUAAAAUAUUUAAGAUAUAAUUGAUGCAUAGAUAUAUACAUACAAAUACAUAUGCAGCAAAUCACAUGUAUAGAAUAAUUAUAUGUAAUAUGAUUCUAUACGCAUAUGCAGAUACAUCAUAACAAUAUAAUAAAACAAACAUGAGGACCCACGAACAAACAAUUUUAUCAUGCCUCUCGUAUUAUAAUAAUUAUGUGAGUCUUUUCUCCAGAUUAAUCGAACACAGAGAACACAUAAUUUAAUUGUAUAAUUAAACAAGAUUCUCUUAUUUACAAAAAUACAGAUUAAGAUAAAUAGUCAAUUAUCAUGGUCUCAAUAUACUAUCCAUAGAACGACAGUCUAUCACAAAACAAAACAAUAAUUUUAUCUCAAAAUUUAAAUCCAUGAAAUCAUACAGCCGUAUAAUUAACAUAUAAUAUAUUUGAGUUCUAAGAUAAAUCGAUUUCAAAACCCUGCUCUGAUACCAAUUGAAAAACUUUUAUUUAUUUUAUGCGGAAAAACCUUAAUCACAGAAUCUUGAAAUCAAAUUCAUCUUAAGAAUAUAAUCACGUAAUAGAGAUUAUCGACAUACCGUUCGCCAUGGAUUCCGAUAGAGAUGAUGAACGAUAGCAAUCUACAAGCCGAGCCUAGCCAGGCCUCCUUCGAAUCUCCUUGAGAACUUUAUUCGUAGCACACCUUCUUCUCUCUAUCUCUCUAAUAUCACAACUCACGAAUAUUUCUGUAAGUGAUGGAAUUCUCAAUUGUGUCUGAUGGUUGAGGAGAAGAGCUGUGGAUUUCUUUUAUAGACGAGAGAAGAGGGCCACGAUUGAUUUGUAACGGCAGAAGACAAAUCCCACCCAUCAUGGUCUUUUACUGCCUUCAACGUUACAAAUCAAUUACCAUAAAAUCACCUUAAUACCAUGAUUUGAAUUACCCACAAUUUAAUUAAUUAAAAUAAAGAUUAGUGGACCAAAAUUAAAAACGUUUUAAAACGUAAACUAACACAUACUACCCGACGAAAGACGAACUAUAUACCUAAGUACUCAUGUAAUAAUCAAAUCUCAACUUAUAUAUAAGUACUCUGCUACUGUCAUAAUUAAUUAAAGAUUUUAUAUUAUCACUUACAAGUGUUCUGUUAUUUCUAUAUAUUUUUACUGUGUCAAUUUUGCAAAUUUCUGAAUGCUGCACAACAAUUUCACAUGAAGUUUAAUUUGCCAAGGAUUAUAAAGUAGGCUAUUUAAUAUUGGUGCAUAAUUUAGCUAAUUUAAAGAACCAGAGAGUGGUUCAAAAUAGUUGCAUUAAGACUGAUUUGCCCUUUUUUCUAAUAAUAUAACAUAAUCGCAAUAAAAUCGGACCACCGUGCUACGUCAUUCGAGUUUAGUUCACUCAGAAUAUUAUUUUGUCGGUUCCUAUAGAUUAUAAAGUUAAUCGAUCACAAUCUAGAUAUAAUUGGACAAUCCAUUUGAAUAAAGAUUGUAGCACAUUUUAAAGUAAUUAAUCUAUCUUUGAUUACAUUAAAUAUUUUUAAGUAAUUAAAUUCUAAAUUCACGUGCAGAUCAAGUGUAACUCACGUACAAAUCUCGUGCAUAUUACGUAUUUAUGUGAUUAUAUGCGCAAAUCCGUACUUAUUUUAUAAGCGGUCACUUUAGAAAAUGGGUAAUCAUUCAAAAUACAAUGAAGAUGAUACUCUUUCAUAUUAAUUAUAUAUAUAUAUAUAUAUAUAUAUAUAUAUAUAUAUAUAUAUAUAUAUAUAUAUAUAUAUAUAUAUAUAUAUAUAUAUAUAUAUAUAUAUAUAUAUAUAUAUAUAUAUAUAUAUAUAUAUAUAUAUAUAUAUAUAUAUAUAUAUAUAUAUAUAUAUAUAUAUAUAUAUAUAUAUAUAUAUAUAUAUAUAUAUAUAUAUAUAUAAUUUUACAAAUAUAUUUUGAGAAUUAAAUCAAUUGGGUAUUUUACAAAUAAAAUUUUAAUUGUCUUUUUUAGGGACAGAUUCUAAUUAUUGUGAUACUUUUUACAAAUUAAAUGUAUUUUUUGUUUUUUGAAGUCAACAUAAAAUUUAACCUCCUUACGUAAUUUUAAAUUUCAAAAUUAAUUGUUAAUAAGGAAUGAAAAAAAACACCUCACAUUUAUGGGCGUUGAAGAAUAUCAACAAGUUCUGGGGGGCGAUUGUCGGGUGGCGAAGGGGCUGGAUUGUGCUUCGGCAUCGAAUUUUUAUGAUUAUCGAAAGACCGAUAAUCAUAAAAGCCGUUAAAAUAGACAAUAGUGUCCAUUUCAACGUGUUUUUGCUGCCAAAAUCAAUAUAAUUCCUGUUUCCGAAGUCCACCGAUGGCUUCUCCAACCAACUCCUUUGGACCUCUUCCAAAGGAGGGUGCCUCCGGUGGGAAAGUGUCGGCCUAUCGAACUCGGACUCGAUUUCUAUAGGUUGCAUUUUUUUAUGCAUGAAAAAUAGGAGAAAAAAUACGCGAGUAUAAAUUAUAAUGGACUUGAUAAACACAAAACAAGUUUCCAUUACUUUAAAAUUACAAUUCUAGAUAAGAUAUUAUAAAGCCAUGUUAAAUAUCAAUUCUAAAUCCAUGUUCCAAAAAAUAGUAUAACACGUUUUCAAAAUCCUUCAGUUACACCAUUCAUUUCUCAUGAUUCAUAUUUUCAAUAUCAAAGAAGAGAACUUUUUAGAAAAUGGAAACAAAGAGAGUUAAGGUGACGUUUGUUUAUGUUUCCAAACUCCCUUUCCAGUUUUAUACCAUGCAUAAAACCGGGAUUAUGUUUGUUUAUGAAUUUUCACUUGGAAAUUCCUAUUUUUCUUAACAAUUUUUUCCAAUAGAAAUACACUAUUCAUAUUUUUCCCAAUUUUCAAACCUACAUUAAUACCUACUAACCUAUUUGUCUCUCCUCCAAUUUCUCUCCCUUCUUAUUAAUAUUCAGCUAGUUUUCCACCUUUCUUUUACACUUUUACACCAACUCUCUCAGAUCUUUUAAUUUAUUUUUAUAAUUCUAUUAUUUAAUUUUCUCCCAUAUCUCUUAUCUGUAAUUAAUAUCCUUGUUAGAAGAAAGAUGAACAACAACAACAACAACAAUAAUAAUAAUAAUAAUAAUAAUAAUAAUAAUAAUAAUAAUAAUAAUAAUAAUAAUAAUAAUAAUAAUAAUAAUAAUAAUAAUAUUCAAUCGUAUAUAUUCUACUUUUGCAUGUACUUUCGUAGAGAAAACUCACCACAACUAAACAUAUUCCCAUUUCUACACCUAUAUAAAACUAAAAAUACCACUUCAUCCAAACAUAUUCCUAUUUUCUACACAAAAACCAAUACAUCUACUUUUUCCAUCAGAAAUUAUGAAAAUUAUAAAAUCUCAUUAGAAACAUAACCAAAAUAUAUAUUACCUAAUUCAAUUUUUGUAACUUAUUUGGUACAAUUUUCAAAUCAUUUUCACUUCCAAAACAAGUUUUUUUUUUUUAAUACAAGCUCGAAUACUCCUCCCAAUUUACGAUUUCCGGAACUAAAUUAACACCACUAAUACUUGUAGACAUAAUUUGACUACUACAGUAAAAAAAACAUAAAACAAGAAAUUUUGUACUUCUGUCCUUUUAUAUCAAGAUUAUUUUUGUUGGAAUAUUUGUAUUUUGAAUUGAAAAUUUUCUAUUUACAUCAUAUUUUAUUUAUGAAUACAUUUAUACUGAAAAAAUAUUUAUUUAAUUCACCAAAUAACGGAAAGUGCGUUAUCAUACCUCACUGCUAUUUACAUCAUCUUUCAUUUUAUGAAUGCAAUAUUUUGAUCUAUAAACACACGUUCGCCAACAUAUUUUUACAUGUUUUUCUUUCUCUUAUUAGAAUAAGUUGUUAACGAGAAAAUACGAGUUGGUAAAAAUGGUAUAGUUCAAUAACUUUACCUCGACCAAAUUUACGUGCAAAUCAAGUGUAAAUCUUGUGCAUAUUACGUGAUUAUACGUGCAAAAACGUACUUAUUUUUAUAAGCGAACAUUUUCAAGAAUGAAUAAUGAUCAAAAUAAAAGGAAGAUGAAAUUCUUUCAUAUUAAUUUGUUGAUGGUAGGUAGAGAGACAUAACAAAAAUAUUUAGUAUGGUAAUGUGACAUGCAAAAAUAUUAUACACUUUAGAUGUAUUAAAUAUAUUGGGAUAUAGUAUUAUUGUAGCAUUAAUUAAAAUGAAAUUAACUUACAUUUCUGGGCAUUGAAAAAUAGAGGGCUUUGUAGAGGAAUUUUUGGAAUUGGGAUGAAUUUCUAGACUCCAAAAAUUUUGGAAUUAGUUUUGUACUUUCGAACAUAUUUGGAAAGUUUUCUACAAAGAUCAAUUCCGAUCCGUUUCAGACAUUCACCCAAGUCCUAUAAGGACACCAAUUUUCGGCUAUAGUGACUUGCACUACCAAAAAAAGGGGCUUUUGUGACGGACGAUUGCGUCAUUAAAUUGAAGAAAUUCCGUCAUGAAUACCUUUUUGUGACACAUGUGUGACGGAAAGUGUCCGUGGGAAAACCCCUCGUCACUACUUAAACUGUGACCUAUAUAUUCGUUUGUCACAUAUUUUGUCACGGAACCGUUUGUCACUACAAAAUACAUUUCCGUCACAAUUACCAUGUCCAGGGUCUAUAAAAUUUGUGACGGAAUGUGUCACAAAUAUUUUUUUAGUCGUUAGUAAUCCGUCGCAUAUUAAUAGGCCACAUUGUUAUUUAUCCGUCACACCUACUGUCAUAAAACCAUCACCAAUGUUCCGUCGCAAAUUACAUGUUACCAGUGUUCGUCACAAAUAUCAGUUAUCACGUGUCCGUCACCAAUACAAGUUAUCAGUGUCCGUCACAUAAUUCCGUCACCAAUGCCCGUCACACAAUCUGUCACACAUGGCGUCCCACACAUCCGUCACCAAUGUCCGUCACAUAAUAUCGAUCACAAAUGUCACACAAUAUCGGUCACUAAUGUCCGUCACACAUAUUGGUCACACAAACGCCGUCACCAAUGUCCGUCACCUAAUAUCGAUCACAAAUGUCACACAAUAUCGGUCACCAAUGUCCGUCACCUAAUAUCGAUCACAAAUGUCACACAAUAUCGGUCACCAAUAUCCGUCACACAUAUCGGUCACACAAAUGCCGUCACUACAUACUUGUCACACAACAUCCUGUCUCAAAUCCCUCACAAUCUUUUUACUAAAUAAAUUGUAUUGCGUCAUCCAACAGUCACAUUUUCAUCACAAAUCAUUAAAAUAAUAAUUAUGAUUUAUUUAUUUAUUUAUUUUAUUUUGUAUAAUAAUUUCCAGAUUAUGAAUUAAUAUUCAAAUUUAAUCAUCCACAAAAUAACAACAUUAAAAAAACUAAGAAAAUCCCAAUAAGAAUGUAAAUCUAAAUAAAUCAUCACACGGGUAUGAUUCCCAAUAGUUCCAACAUGAGCACAAAUUCCAAAACAUAUAAUCUUAACAAAAUAAUGUAAAAAGAAUCUUAACAAGACAGAAUGAUCAUAUCAUAGUCUAAAUGUUUCAUUCACCACGUAUUUGUACUCCGUACAUGUCCCCUUGUUCUAGACUUUCGGUGGCUUACAUUUCCUUCACCCAUCCUGCAGAUAAUCAUGAAAAUAAUCUAUAAGAAAAUACACAUAAAUAACCAACUGCAAAUAAUUAUAUGAAAAAAAAAAACAUACAUAACCAAUGAAAAUAAAAUAAAUAAAUAAAAAAUAAUGACACUACGAUAUAUCAAAUAAAAAUAAUAUAAAACUUUUGAAUGUAUAAGCCACUGAGAAUAACAAUGAAAUCAUAGCAAUUUACCUCAUCGUCGGUACUAGUGGAAUCCACGUAGUGCUGGUUUGUGUUGUUUUCAGAAUCAGAGUCUUCAAAUUCUUCUUCCUCCUCUUCUUCCUCUUCAUCAAUUCCUACAUCUCCUGUUGAGGUCAUCGAAUCAUCCCUAACUUCACCGGGAAGUACUUCUACGGGAUUUAUAGUAUUAUCCAAUAAAAUAUCAGACCGAUCUAAAUCUACUGUGAUAGGAAUUUCAUAUGGUGAUGACAUUAUCUCUUCUUGAAAAGGAUCUUCAACAAUUUUGGGAUUGCUUUCUUCGUGUGUUUCUACUGGUGGCAUAUUUAUUCUACUCCUAGCUUUUGUUUUGCAUACAGCCCGCCAAUCACUUCUAUCUUUUCGUGUAGAUGGAAAAGAUGUGUAAAAACUUGUUGUGCUUGUUCAGCUAAAAUGAAAGGGUCAUUUGUGCUAAGCCUUCUUCGAACAUUAAUCUCCACAACACCAAACCGUGGAUGCACUCUAACCCCGCGGUCAGAUGUAUCAUACCAAUGACAUUUAAACAGAACAACUUUAUUUCCACUUCCAAAGUAUUCUACCUCCAUCACCUCUUCCAACAACCCGUAAUAAUCAACUUCAUUUGCAUUCCAUGAAUUCCCUAAAACACAAACACCAUUAUUCAUUGUUGAUUUAUGUUGCCCAUGUUAGGUUGUGUGAAACUUGAACCCAUUGACAUAAUAACCUUUGUAUGUUUUAAUCCAUCGACUAGGUCCUUGUGCUAUGCAUUUAAUAUUUUCCUCAAUUGUGCUAUGAUCAUUCAUGACCUAUGCAUCCAUAACAUCAUAAAUUAAAUACCAUAUUCAAAAGUCCAACGAGAUCAAAGACUACAUUCAUAGCGUUCCAAUUUCAAGGUACAUAGAUGAAAUCGGACAAUAUAAAUAAUAAUAGAACGAAACAAAUAUACAAAAAUAAAAUACAAUAACUUACAUAAGUUCCUAUUCAUAUAUAUUUGUAAUCUUCAUUCAAAUAAUGAUGACAUACAUGAUCAGAAGCAACCACUUAUACAGAGUCAUCGAACAUACGAAAAAAUGACAGAUUUUCUAUCUUAACUUUGAAAAUUCAUACCUCUUUAACUACUGAUCCAAUUAAUCUAAAAUUUUUACACAACAUUUGUAUAUAUAUGAAUUGCAUCCCAGUAUAACAGUUUGAAAAACAAUGAAGUAGAUUAAUAGUUAUAAAUUAAUUUGUGCAGUGCUACAGUUUUAUGAUUCAAAACACCAGGGGCUACUUUAAAAUUUUGUAAAAAAACACCCGUUAGUUCAAAAACCUAAAAAAUUUACAGUAAUACAGCGAUGAGAGUCUAAAAUAAUAUCCAAGUGGAAUUAAUGAAAUAUGAGAAGUAAAACAUUAGAUAUUGAACAAAAUGUCCAGCUGACUGAAAACUAUCUUGUGUUUACAAAAAGGCUCAUAACUUUGUUAUUUCAACUCUGUUUUUAACCUAUUUUAUAUCAAAUAAAACAUCAGAGCAUAGAAUAUUGGAAUAUAGAAUUUCAUUAUUUUUAAGAAAAGAAAAUAUGCAGAAAAAUAAGUUAUGAAAUUCGGCCAGAAUACAAGUUAGUGUCAAAUUCAUGGUUCCGGUUAGCAUAAUUGAAGUAAAGUAGAAAAUCAUCAAAUUUCGUCAUAUAAUCCAUAUGCAUGCCGCAUACAGCCCCAUGUUCAGUCAAUCCAUGAAUUAUAUCACAUAGUUGAGGAGCAUCCUCAUAACAAUAACAAAAAUAAAGGCAUAUAGGUGACCUCGAACACAGAAACCCAAGCUUAAAUCCAACAAUUAAAUAGAAAGUAUCUAUGAAAAAGAAUACAAAUGUAUAUGACUUACACUUACAUAAUCUUGCAACCAUUGAGGGAAAUUUGUAUCACGUAAUCUUCCUAAAGCUUCAUCAGUGAGAGAUGGACAUUGUUUCAGCAUUUCUUCAUCAAAUUGCGUAUAAGAAUCAAACAUAUAGCAAUGUUAAUAUAUAUUUCAUUUUAAAUAUGCCAGUAUUAUUUUCCCACAUAUAUUAAAAGAGAUACUCACUCGACAAAAGGAAUGAUCUCACUACAAUUCAAUAGAAUAUAUCUAUGUGCAGCAAUCAUUUCACUUUCAUCUGUAAAUAAUCGACCAACUUUCUGACUUCCGAGAGGUCUCCCUGGAUGAUUGAAAAGAGAAAGACGCCCACCAAACUCUAUCUCUCCACCAUCAUCAUUUCUUGGGAGCCGAGUUAAUCUGGUUUCCACGUUAGACUCAAAAUAAAAGGAGCAUAAUGUUGAAACUUCCUCAAUUAUGUAUGCUUCUACAAUAGAACCUUCAACUCUAGAUCGGUUUUUCACCUUUUGCUUUAAAUGAUGUAGAAAUCUGAAAUAUCACAUCCAUUUCGUAAUAUAUAUAUAUCACCAAAAAAUUAAAUGAUAACAUGAGUUAACAAUAAAUUUGAAUAUGUAAAUGAAUACCUUUCAAAUGGAUACAUCCAUCGAUAUUGGACAGGUCCACAUACUUUCGCUUCAUAAGCCAAAUGAACAAGAAGAUGUUCCAUUACGUCAAAGAAUGAUGGCGGAAAAAUCUUUUCAAGUUUGCAAAGAAUCUCGACAAUAUUCUUCUCUAGUUGUGACGUAUGUUCUACAGUCAAUACAGUUGAACAUAAGUCCCUAAAGAAAACACUGAGUUCUGAUAUAGCUUCCCAAACUGGUACGGGCAAUAAAUCACGAAAAACAAUUGGAAGCAAUCUGUGCAUAAAUAUGUGACAAUCAUGACUUUUUAAUCCAUAAAACUUCCAGUCUUUCUCAUUCACAUUUCGGGCUAUAUUUGAAGCAUAAUCGUCCGGAAAUUUUAACUUUUUAGUCCAAUUGCAUAUUAUUUUUACUUGUUCUGGACUUAAAGUAUAUGAUGCUUUAGGUUUCAAAAGGUUUCCAUUUCGGACGUGGAACAAAUGUAACUCGGGACGAUCACAAAGUUGCUCUAAAUCUUUUCGUGCAUUUGCAUUAUCUUUUGACUUUCCCUUCACAUCUAAAACGGUAUUGAAUAUAUUAUCAAACACAUUUUUCUCUAUAUGCAUCACAUCUAAAUUAUGACGAAAAAGAUUAGUACUCCAGUAGGGCAAAUCCCAGAAUAUACUUUUUUUUUUACCCAAUUAUGUGUAUCGCCAAAUCCUAACAGGUCUUUAGGGUUGCCAAAUUUGUCAUACGUCCGAGAUGGGAGUUGACAAACUCGUCUAUGGAUUUCUUCACCCGAUAACCGUGGUGGCGGAGAGUCUUUUUCAGCUCGACCUUUCAAAAACUGACGUGUCUGUCUUCGAUAAGAAUGACUUCGUGGCAAAAAUUGACGAUGACAAUCAAACCAUGAUUGUUUGCGUCCUUUUGCUAAACGAAACGAUUUUGUUUUCUCCAUACAAUAAGGGCAUGACAGCAAACCAUGAGUACUCCAAGAAGACACCAUACCAUAUGCGGGAAAAUCAUUGAUCGUCCAUAAAAGAGCAACUUUCAUUUGAAAAUUUUGUUGUUUGGAUACAUCAUAAGUUUGCACACCUUCACUCCACAAACCAUUUAAUUCAUCGAUUAGAGGACGCAAAAAUACAUCCAACUUUUUGCCUGGAGAUUUAGGUCCCGGGAUAACCAUAUUCAAGAAAAUAUAUGGUUGUUCCAUGCACAUACCUGGGGGAAGAUUGUACACCAUAAUCAUAACGGGCCAACAAGAAUAUGGAGCAGCAGAGUUGCUAAAAGGAGUGAACCCGUCAGUACAUAAUCCGAGACGAACGUUUCGUGGUUCUGAUGAAAAUGAUGGAUGCGUUUGGUCAAAAUACUUCCAUGCUUCACUAUGAGAAGGGUGUGCCAUAAGUCCGUCUUCACACUGAUUUGUUGAGUGCCACGUCAUUUCUUUAGCUGUAGUUUUAGACAUAUAAAGUCUCUGUAAUCUGGGAAUGAGCGGUAAGUAUCGCAAUACCUUACGAGGUUUAUCUUUUCUAUAACUAACAUUUUUGGGCAUGUACCUAUCUUGACCACAAUAUAUGCAUUUUGUCUUCUGUUUAUUUUUUUUAUAGUAUAACAUGCAAUUGUUCACGCAAACAUCAAUCUUCUCAUAACCCAGUCCAAGUUUUGCAACCAUUUUCUUUGCAUUAUAUAAGUUAGCUGGUAACUUUUCAUCACUAGGCAACAUGCUCUUAACCGAUGACAUGAUUUGAUCAUAACAUGGAUGUGACAGGUUGAACUCGGAUUUUAUAUUUAGCAGCUGAGACACUGCCGAAAGCCUUGUUUGUCCCUUGCAACCCUCCCACAAUGGUUCAUUUGCAUCCUUCAAUAAAUCAAAAAAGUUUUUGGCAUUUGGAUUUGGUGUUUGUUCUAUAUUUAUUUGGUUCUCAUCAUUAUCAAAAUCCCAAUGAAAGCCAGGUCCUAUAGCAUCCAUAACCAUUGUUCUCAUUCCAGAGUGUUCAUCACUUCUAGGCUCAGAAUGUUCUGGUGUAAGAUUUGGUCUCCAUGGUUCACCAUGUGCAUCCCACGUAGUGUAAUCAUUUUUAAAUCCAUUUAUUUUGAUGUGAUGAUGCACAUUAUCUCGAUUGUUAAAUUUUCGAUUGCAGCACUUAGAACAAGGACAUCUUAUCUUACCAUGAUCAACUACAUUUGGAUAGAAAGAGUCCCUUCUCUCUCUGUUAGGCGAUUUUUUUGUGCUUGUUUGCAUUUUGCUUUCUCUCUCUCUGUUAGGCGAUUUUUUUGUGCUUGUUUGCAUUUUGCUUUAUAUCUCGGGUCACUAAACAGAUUAUCACAAAGUGUUACCCAAUCAUCUUUCUUCAUACAAUAAGGGACAACAGUCUUCCACUUUUCUACAUCAUCACCGAAUAAUUUUUCAGCAUUUUUUUUAAACCGAUAAAUGUUGUUUCAGAUGUUCAUGUUUGCAUAGUUCCAUGAUUUUUUUAUCCAACCUCAUGCAUUGGCAACCAAUUGAAAUGUUCCUAUUACAUAAUCAAACAAGUUAGCUCGUAAACCAUUUUUUACAAAUAUUCAAAUAUUAGUCAUAUAUAAAAAUAAAAUCAUCCACAAGAUAAUAACUCACUCGAAAUUUUUGAAACAAUCGAGUCUUUGUUUCAUUAGGAACCUUCCCCCAAGAAGACCAUGCACCAAGAUAUUCACGGGAAAUAUUCAUGAUCUCGCGAGUUACACUAAAUGGAAUAAAUCUGCGAUUAAACGCGAGGUAACGAUAUAAAAAGGUACCAAAGAAAUUUUUAUUUUAACAUUGAAGUGAGAAAAAAAAAUAUGUUAGUCGUACCCAAAACCGUCUGGUUGUAUCCAAGGUCGAUCUUCAGCAUUGUUUGGUGCUUGACUUAAACGACUUGCCCCCCUUACUCUUGAGGAGUUUUCAUUUUCUCCCUGAUUUGAUUGGCCUUCUUCUGAAACAAAUGUACGAGGGUCGUCGGACUCACGUUCAUCUCUUAAAGACAUGAACUCAUUCUCCAUCUCUUCAUCAUGCUCAUCAAGAUCAACCUCUGGAGGGGGUACACCGGUUGCGAUUGAUGGUUGUGUAACUGCACCUCGUGUUUGCUCCAUGCCUCUAGAUCUUCGACUCGUCUGAUCAGUAUCCAUGGAAGGAUGAACCUCUGAAGUAGGAACACCAGCCGAUCUAUUCAGUGUUGUUGCACCUUGUUCCGGCAACCUACCUCUGGAUCUACUAGUCUCAAUAUUUGUUGGAGGAUCAUCCAUCUCAAUCUCUGAAUCAAUUAGCCUUAAACGUGUUGUUCGUACAUUUGUACUUUUACCACGCCCCCUUCCUCUAAUUCGUCCACUAAAUCCUUUUGCUCUUGUCCCUGACAUUCUGCAUAAGAAUGUUACUGUCUAAACAAUUUUUACUAACUAAAACAAUAAUACUGUUGCUUAAACCAUGCAUCCAAAAAUCAUGAAAACUUUAACAAAACACUAACUUACAUGCCUGUAAUAUUCCUUCAAAAUAGUUUACCAAAAUAAUUCUCAAAUAAUCUGUUAUUAAUAAAAGUGCAGACAAUUGUAGUUACAUAAUCCUCAAAAUUAUAAUCAAGUUUAAAAUUUUAGAACUAAUUAUCCAUUGGUCCAAAUACUACAAAACUAUACAAUAAUAAACCUUACGAGUCUUUGGCCAAUUAAAACUGGAAUCAUUCUAAUCCAAUGACUAUAACAAUUAUUGUUUAACAAUAUAAUAAAUUGGCGAAAAAAAUUUAGUUAAGAAAAUAAUAAUAAUAAUAAUAACAAUUCAUAUUAAUUAAUCCAACAUCAAUAUUUUGAUGAGUAAGUCAACAUUCAACUACAUCAAAAUACAUAUAAUUGUUACCUUUAAAUUUGUUUCCACCCUUUUUCUUCUUUCUGUUCUCACUCUCUUGCUCUUCCUAUGUUUCUCUUUGUUCUUUCUAUUCUUUUUUUUUCUUCUCUUCGAUCAGUCUUUUCUUAAUCUUCUCCAGCCCCUUUUCUGUUUUGCAAAUACCGAUUUUUACUCAUGAUUUGUUACGUGAAAACAAUUCAAGUCAUUAGUUAGGUUUAGAACGUGUAUAUAUUUAAUGAGGAUUGCAUUAUCAUGCCUCUAACAACCUGCUUAAAAAUAGGCCCUUCGAAAAUAUAAUAUCAGUGUUGUUGCCGGACUGGACUGUAUAAUAUAUUUAUGGUACUAACCUAUAAAAUCUUUUUAAUUUUUAUUUUAUAUAUGAAUUGAAUAUGUAUUCUAUAAAAUUAAAUUUCAGAAUUUGUAAGAUUGACAAAUUUUGCUAUCUAAAUAUUUUCUAAUUUAUCCUUAAAUUAGCAAAUAAUAAUUUUAUAUUUGAAAUUUUCGUGUAUGUUUUAUGUGCAUGGAUGGCAUGUGGCUAGAAAGUGAAAAUAGAAAAAAAACUAUUAUUGAAAAUUAUAUUAAAAAAAUAAGAGAAAGAAAAUAGAAAAACAAUUUAUUGUUGAAUAUUAUAUAAACAAAUAAUUUUCAUGAGUUGGAUAAUAAUGUGAAGAGAGUGGUUGGCAUGAAUAAAAAUAUAUGAAAAUAAAUAUUUUAAAAAUUUAAAUUUAAUAAAAUAAAAUAACAGAAAAACCCGGUUGAACUGAGUAGAACCGGUUCAAUCGUGAUCCAAUUAGUCAUCCAGUUCUACGUCCGGUCUGAUUUAAAAACAUUGGAGAACAUGACAACAAUUUGGCCAUAUAUAAUUAUUUUUAUUGAAAAAAAAAAUAUAGUGAAUAAAUGUAUAUAGUAUGAAAAAUAUGGCAAAUUAAUUAGUAAUCCAUUUGAGAUUGUGAUGGGCUUAUAAAUUGUGACGGAUUUGUGACCGUAUCAACAUAGUGACCGAUCAAUGACAAAACUAGAAUGUGACGACUUUGUUACCAAAUAAAGAUAGUGACAAUUCAAUGACGGAAAAUACAAUGUGACGACUUUGUGACCGCAUUAUGCAUGACGGAUUUCUGACGACAAAGAUAUUGUGCUAGAUUAAUAAAGGACAUUAAUAAAUUAUUUACAUCAAUUAUAAUAUUAUGACAGAUUUGGUGACAAAAUCAAUUUCCGUGAAAACUUUAGUGACAAAACGGUUACGGAUUUGUGUGUGUCACAACGGCCGUCACGCACUCAGUCACAUAGAUGUCACAAUAAAAGACGGAUAUGUUUUCUUAAAUUCCGUCACAAAUUUGUCAAUAAUUUUGUCAUUUGUGUGUGACCGAUUUGUGAUGGAAUUGAGUUUGUGACGGAUAUGUGACCAAUAUUAUUCAAGACGUUAUUUCUAUGAAAAAAUAAUGACAUAUAUGUGACCAAACAAAUUUCUGUCACAAUAUUAGUGACUGAUAUGUGACAACACUAAUUUCCGUCGAAAUAUAAGUGACAUAAAUGUGACCGACAUCUGGCUGUGACAACAUUCGUCGCAAAAUUCGUCACAACCUCGUCACAGUGUAAUGAUGAUAUUUUCUGUUGGCAUCCGUCACAUAUCCAUCACUUAGUCGUCUGUCACAAAUAGUGACAGAUUAGGGCCGUCACAAGCUUUCCGUCACAAAAGGCAUGUUUUUUGGUAGUGUUGGUGGAGAAGGAAUUAAUUUUUCUGUUACUUUGUACAACUCUUUCCAGAGCCAAAUAUAUACAAUACUUGGUUGGAGAGAGAGAUAGGAUUCUAUGUACCUGAGUUGUUUCCUUGGGGGGAUUUGAAGGUUAAGGGAUUGAUUUCAAAUGAAUGAGGUACGAGUCAUCGGCGAAGCCCAUUCUGAUUUAUUUUUUUCUUACUCGUGCUCGUUGUCGCUGUUGAUGUUGGGCUAGGAUUGGAUCUGAGUUAACAAGAUUUGGACUAUUGGGGAUUGGGCAUUGCCGUCGAUAUUAAGGGGAAGAUGAGAAAUGAGCAUGCAAUAUUCAUUGUUAUUAUAGAGGAUAUUUUUGACUUUUCAUAUUCAACAACACACUCAUAGCCGCACAAUCCACGCGUGUAGCACACGAAAAGCUGUCGGUGAUUUUGUUGGUUUUGACUAACUUUCGUAGGGGUAUCAUUGCUAAUUUUUUAUAUCAAAAGGGCCUUUUCGACAAUUCAAAAUCAUACAAGGUGGUCCGUGGAGAAAACCCUAUAAAGACAAUUUUAAAGAGUAGUUAAAUAUGAGAAAAAAAAAGAAGUGAAGUUUAUGGUUUGUGAGGGUUUAAGAGCAUCCAUUUUAGAUGCUCUUGUAUCCGUGAACUUCCCUUGUGGACAAAGUCAUGUGAGUACCUCGAAGUUGUAAAUAUGCCUUUACACUCCAUAAUUUAAUUUAAUGAUUUUCAAAGAACCGAAACCCGACGCGUGCAUAUUCGUUCAGUUGUCAUCUUUCCACUUCCCAAAUCUUGUGAAAAUACAAAGGGGUCUCGUUAAAAUUUUACGUGUCAAUUUUGAUGAGAAUGUAAAAUCUAAUGGCCGGAACUUCCACUCGUAUUCGCCUAUUAUUCCUAGUUGUUCUAUGCUUUUCUUACGUCAUAUGCAACAAUGGCGCGAUCCCUUUCACAAGUAACUUAUCCUUCGAUUCUCCGAGUGUUCUUCCAUGUUCAAUGUGUUUUUUUUUCUUUUUUUUUUUUUAACUUUUUGGAAUUGCAGGAAGUAGAAACCUGAUGAAGGAACCUCAAAGUUAUGAAGUUGGAAAAGUGGUACUUCUGUCGGUACUCAACCUAAUUAUUGUCUUAAUUUACUUGCAAUAUCCUUGUCCUAAAUAAUUAGUUAAAUGUGUGAUGCAGGAAAAGAUUGUGAAAAGCUGGAAAACGGAUAGUCGAAUAUUCAGAAGAAUGGAGAUUGAGGUGAACGACUAUCCGGGUUCUGGGGCGAAUAACCGCCACACACCAAGGUCACAAGCAGGAAGAAGUUGUACAAUUGAUUGCUAAACAAUGUUAAUUAAUUAAUCUUUGGGUAAUAUUUAUUAUAUUUGUUUGUUUUAAACCUGUAAACAUGGUUUUGCUUUAUCAGAGUCUUUGGAUUAAGUAGUUGUAUUUUGAGGAAAUUGGAACUAAUUAAUUGUUAGCAGAUAUAGUAAACUCAGCACCGCCAUUUAUAUUGUUGCAGUCGAUGAAGAAAUUAGACAUGUCGUGUUAAUGAUCGUUUUCAACGGUGGAUGGUCGGCCGGUGAGUGAUGGAAAGAAACUUAGUGUAUGUGUGAGAGUGUGUUUUAGAGUUGUUGAGAUUGAGGGUUGUAAAAUAAGAUUCCAUUUUGAGUAGUGUCGAGUAGGAGGAACUAUUGAGUCUGAAAUCCUCACAUGUUGAGAUUAUCUUGAAACUUUCUAGACAUGCAUAUAGUACUUCGUAGUUAGUACUUAGUACUUGGCAGGCCGGUUUUAUAAACAAACAACAGAAGCAAGAAAUCUAUGUAGCACGAAAACUUCUUUUAUGAAUUCUAUUUAUUACCACCAUUGACUUUUUUUUUUUUUGCUGUUUUCUGCCAUUGGCCGGUCAAAAUCAUAAUAUUGUUGCAGUUGACAUUAAAAUUAUUAAUGUUUAUUACAAACAGUAAUAAUACUGUCAACCACAAUAAUAUUAAUUUUUUUUCAUUUUUUUACUAUGUUGACCGGUCAACGUAAUAAUAUUAUUGUGUUGCACAAUAACAUUAUUUUUUAACACAAUAAUAUUGUUGUUAAUAUCACUGUGUUAUACAGUAAUAUUAAUAUACACAUUUUUUAACAUUAUUGUAUUAGACAAUAAUAUAGAAGUAUUAUUAUUGUAUUAGACAGUACUAUAGUUUAUAUUACUGUCAAACAUAGUUAUAUUACUGUUUGUACUAGGCAAAAUAUGUUGAGAAAAAAAAAUUGAUUCAAAAUAAUGAUUAUUAAAAAAUAAUAAAAAGUUUACCACCGGAGACUAGCGAUUGCGCGAAUAAAAUUCGUACAAAAAAAUAUUGAAAAAUAAAGUCAACGGCGGCAGGGUUAAAUUGAGUUUAAGUUAUGAAAUUGGAGUGUAUUAGAUUCUUAGAUGAUAUUUUAUCUUUUAUAGGACUUUGAACAUUGUCUGAGACAGACCUAAUUAUAAAUAUGAAAAAUUAGCAAGAUCCCCCUCAUUUAUGAAAUAUAGUGAAGGAAAAUUCCCCUCUCAAAAGUAAUUAGAGAAAACAUCUUUCCCUUUAAACUAACGAUUCUAAGAAAUCUUAAUUGUGUAAUAUACACUUGAAGAACCCUAAUCUUAUUUAUAUUUAUCUCUUCUUCAUUACACGCAUCUCCUCUUUCUUUUUCUCUGAUAUUUUUUUCUCUUUUCAAUUUCCUAUCCAAAUCUAUUGUUCUCUCUCUCUCUCUCUCUCUCUCUCUCUCUCUCUCUCUCUCUCUCUCUCUCUCUCUCUCUCUCUCUCUCUCUCUCUCUCUCUCUCUCUCUCUCUCUCUCUCUCUCGAUCCGGAGGCGAAGAACAAGAGUUGUUGCCGCCGCUAGAACGACACUCGUUUUCCUUCUCCUUCUCUUGGAGAUGACUUUUUCGUCGACUUGUUACCUAAAUCGAAUUUUGAUGGGUGGUGGUUCUGCUUUGGUUGGUGGUGCGAGUUGUGAUUUACUUUGUUUGUAAUAAAAAAAAAAAAAAAAAAAAACCAUCAAAAUAUCGAAGAGGGGGGUGGUGAUGCGAUAUGGUGAUGACGGGGAGGCAUAUCUAGGGUUUUUUGGUGGAUCGGACAGAUGACGGCGUGGAUAGAGAAAUUCGCGCAGGCUGGACCCUUAAUCGACUACGUAUUUUGGUAGUCGAUUAAGAUUACUCGAUUUUAUGUUUUAAUUCAUUUUUUAUUUUUGCUUAUUGAUUCCAGUUUGUAUGAAUCAAUUACAAUUUAUGCAUAUUAUUUGUUUUGUAAAAAAAAUGUUGAUUUUUGUUUUUAUGUAGUUGUGUUUUUUUUUUUUUUUUUUAGUUAUUUCCUUAAUCAACUAUGUUUUAUCAUAGUCGAUUAAUAUGUUUCAUAGUCGAUUAAUAUAUCUGAUAGAGAAAAAAAGUUAAAAAACAAAAAAUCGAUAUCAAAAAAUUAAAUAAAUAAAAAAAAAAAACGGUUGAUGAGGUAGCCUCACAGUAGAUGAUAGUGUUGAUAAGGUGGUCGAGGCAUAAUGAGAAAAUUGAUAGCUAAAAUUAGAAGUGUACUUUUCUUAAAUGGUGCAGAAUAAUAUGUGUCUCUCCCUAUUAAAAAAGAAUAUUGAAGGAAUUAUAUAAAAGAUCCCCUUAUAAAUAAGCAGGCUAACGUGAACUUGUAUGAAAGUGUCCCUUUGAAUUAUACAGUUCAACGAUCACAAUUAAGUGACCAUUGUGACUAGGGGUGUAAACGAGCCGAGCUCGAGCCGAGCUCGCCUCUUUUGGCUGGCUCGAGCUCGAGCUCGAGUAUAUUUUGUCGAGCUCGAGCUCGAGCUCGAGCUCGCGAGCUCCUCUUUUUUUGGCUCGAGCUCGAGCUUAUGUCAGUUGUGUCGAGCUCGAGCUCGAGCUCGAGCUCGAGCCCAUUGUCUUUUUUUUUUUUUUUUUUUUUUUAAAUAUUUUUUUAAUUAUUAUUUUAUUAUUAAAAAUUAUUUAAAAAAAUAAAAAAUAAAAACUAAAUUGUAAUUAUAUAUAUUUUUAAUAUUUGUAUUUAUUUCUAUAGUAUUUUACAUUAUUAUACAUUAUUUAAAUAAAAAUAACAUAUAAAAAAUAAAAAAAAUAAUAAAAAAAUAAUAAUAAAUCCGGCUCGCGAGCCGGCUCGCGAGCUCAUGAACAACUGAAAACCAGCUCGAGCUCGGCUCAUCAGAAAGCUCGAGCUCGCGAGCUCGAGCUCGAGCUCGAAAAUCUCGAGUUCGAGUUCGAGCUUUUUACGAGCCGGCUCUUCGAGCUCACGAGUCGGCUCGGCUCGUUUACACCCCUAAUUGUGACAAAUCGAUUCGGAUCAUUAUUAUUGUUCAGCGGCUAGGACAGUCAAAAGUCGAAUUAAUGGCGUGGUUUGAACGGUCACUUUAAUUACUUCAAUGUUUUUUAUUAGAAAAAACAAUUAUUGAAAGUCUGACAAAAAUAUACCAGAAAUUGUACAUCUUUUAACCGUAAUAAUAAUACAUUUUUAACGGGAUAAUUAUACUUUUGGUCCCUCAUGUUUGGCCCGAUUUCACUUUUGAUCCCCCUUGUUUUAAAGUGAACAAAGUUCACCUCAAAGUUUCAAUUUUGAACACUUUUAGUCCCCGCCGUUGCAUGUCCGUUAGCAAGUAACGGAAAAUACUAUUUUGGGGCGAAAAUUAAAUUUUUAAAUUUUUUUGGGGCUGAAAAAUAAUUAAAAUUUUUAAAUAUACUACUUAUAAUUAAAAUUUUAAUAAUAUUAAGUAUAAUGAAAUUUAUUUAGUUAAUUUAUUUUUUUAUUAUUAAAAAUUAAUCAUAAGUAGUAUAAUGAAAAUUAAUAUUAAGCAUAAUGCACAAUAAUUUAUUUAGUUAAUUUCUUUUUUAUUAUUAAAAAAUCAAUUACAAGUAGUAUAAUAAUAAUAAUAUUAAGUAUAAUUAUAUAUGACUUGUUCAGCUAAUUUCUUUUUUUUUUUAAUUAUUAUUUUUUUUAUUAUAAGUAGUAUAUUUUAUAAUAAUUAUAAGUAGUAUAAUUAUAAUAAUAUUAAUUAUAUUACAAAAUAAUUUGUUUCGUUGAUUUUUUUUAUUAUGAAAAAUUAUAAGUAGUCUAUUUUAAAUAUAUAAUUAUUUUCAGCCCCAAAAGAUUUUAAAAUUUCAAUUUUCACCCCAAAAUAGUGUUUUCCGUUACUUGGUAACGGAUAUGAAACGGCGGGAACCAAAAGUGUUUAAAAUUGAAACUUGAAGGUGAACUUUGUUCACUUUAGAACAAGGGGGACCAAAAGUGAAAUCUGGCCAAACAUGAGGGACCAAAAGUGUAAUUAUCCCCAUUUUUAACCAUAAUAAUAAAUUUCUUACGAUAGUGAGAAUUUAAGACUUUUAUUUUAUAAACAUAUAAAAUUUUGUAGUUGGCCUCAAUGUUGUUAGAAGCGGACUGGAUCGGCCGGUCGGACUGGUUAGACCGUGACUUGACGAUGAAGCGGUCCGGUCUGGCCUCAAAAACCGAAAAAAACUAAACAUUAGGGUCGAUUGACCAAAAUCCGAUUCGACCAAGUCAAAACUUGGGAACCGGUGAGUCAGUCAAGGAACCCGGUGUUUGGCUAAAACAUAUAUCUCAAACCACCGCUAAGUUAGUUUUUUAUGGCCAAAUUUGAGCUAGUCAUGAGUGGUCGAAGAAUUGCCGGAUAUGGUCAUAGGUGAUCGAAUAGGGGUGACCGAUUGCCGGAUUUAAAGAAUAAAGAAUAGGAAAAUAUAUAGUAUAAACAAAAGAAAUAUAGUAAAAAGUUGGGGUGAGGUAGAUCAAAGUGAAAAUAAUAGGUGGAAAAUUAAAAAUAUAAAUAAAAUAAUAUUUUUUAAAUAUUAAAAUUAAUAAAAUAAUGACAUAUUAAUAAAAAUAAAAACCCGUUUGAAUCGUUUGAUCCUAUAAAAUCAUUAUCCAAAUGGUGGUCCGAUUCCAUAGGCGACCCGAUUCUGACAACAUUGAUUGGCCUUACAUAAUGGUCUUAAAACAUACACAUGCAUAUAACUGAGAUCAUAUUCACAUAACCUCUCACUACAAGAAUGGAAUCAUUGAAUAUUUUGUUUCACCUCUCCUUCAUUACAGUUCACUAAGUUUAUAAAUCUUUAAAUACUCACAUUAUUGCAAAUUUUGCCAUUUCCAUAGCUUCUUAAAAAAAUGCUAAUGUGAGUUUCUUAUCUUGAUCCAUUCUAGAUCUGACCACUGUUUCGGUUAGAACUGGAACCGGAACCGAACCGGGGUCAACGGUUUUAGAACCGAACCAAAACCGGUUUGACCGGAACUGGAACCAAAACCGAAAAAACCGAUUCGGUUCCGGUUCCUCAUUUUCGGAACCGAGAACCGACGGUUCGAACCAUAGUUCUAACCGUUUGAACCAGUUUAAAAAAAAAAAGAAAAAAUAUAAAGUAUUAAUGUCCUCUCUCUCUCUCUCUCUCUCUCUCUCUCUCUCUCUCUCUAUAUAUAUAUAUAUAUAUAUAUAUAUAUAUAUAUAUAUAUAUAUAUAUAUAUAUAUAUAUAUAUAUAUAUAUAUAUAUAUAUAUAUAUAUAUAUAUAUAUAUAUAUAUAUAUCUAUAUAUAUAUAUAUAUAUAUAUAUAUAUAUAUAUAUAUAUAUAUAUAUAUAUAUAUAUAUAUAUAUAUAUAUAUAUAUAUAUAUAAAAGUAUUAAGAAAAAUAUUUCCAAUGGUCAAAUUAAACAAAAAAAAAAUUACAUAUUUAAAAAAAAAUUAAGUUUUUAAAAU
rnacentral:lncRNA from 1 species